GCUUGUUAGAGGGAAUGAUCCGCCCGAGGAUCUGGGUUUUUUCCUUCCUACGAUGAAGGUGCCUUAAACCAAAUGAAUAUCUCAAGCACUCGAGUAAGCUGUGGACGCACAUUGAGGACGAAGGGAACGCGCUUCUGUCCUUCUGUCAUUGGACUGAUCAUUUCUUUUGGCUUUCUAGGCCAUAGAUUAGUGAACUUUCUCUUCUAAUGAAAUAGAUCUUUCAAGUUUUCGUAUGAGUCUACUAGUCAUAGGUUUCUAUUUUGUUAGUUCUACCGAAGAUAGGUAUGGAAGCCACUAUGAGUAUAUAUCCAGGUAUGCUUCUAACUUCACCUCAUGCCAUAAACGGAAUCCCUAUCAUGAGCGCAACUGUAUUUACAAGUUCAGUAGCCUGAGUGAGCUUUCUCCUCAAUAUGGAUGUGGUGAUUGUUCAUAAACUCCUUGAAAAUCAGACAGACUUAUUAUCAGUGCUCCAAGCUCCAUGUGUUCUAGGGCUAAGACUAUGUUGGUGUAGGCUCCCCUUAUCCUUCCUCUGGCGUUCGCCGAUCGAUUUCUAAAUGAGUGGAAUUUCGAUUCUCUAACUGCUCAAAUAGCAAUGGUUUCCUGUUCCGCAUUGACCCUAGGAUUGGCGGCUUGGCUUAAAGAAUAUGGGAUUCUCUUUCCGGUGGAAAAUUGCAUCUGAAAAUGAGACUGAGACUUACUUUUCAAAUUGUCAGAGGCUAUGAGAUCCACUUUCUUUUGGAAAGGAGAAGGGAGAAGCAGCAUUUCAACUGUGUGAGGAUGGACUCUAGACCCACUCGUUCUGAUUCUGUGAUUGCAAUUUCUCAAAAUGGAUCAUAAAGUUGAUCCUGUUUACUAACUCACUCUCGAAGUAGAAGUACCAGACCAGGUAACCAGAAGAUAAGGCCACUCGGCAAGACUGGACUAGUUUAACACGGCUAUCUAGUGGAACACUAUAUAUAUAGGACUUGUAGAGCUUGAAAAAGCUUGUUUUGGUCUUUUUCUCUCUUUUCUGGGCACUGAACUUCAUAGACAGACUUACCAACUGAUGAGCCAAAGUAGCAAAUUUCUUCUUCCUGGGAGGGGCGGACUCUACGUUGGUAGAUCGAACUUUCAUUUCUUCCUUCCAUUUCAUCUAUUCAAGUAGUCUCCUUUUCAAGUAGAUACGCUUUGAUACCAGAUUGGUGUGCAUUCUAUGCUUACCCAGCGAGCGAAGGAGCGAGCCAAUUCCUCUGUUCCGGUAGAGCCAAUUCCUUUGAAGAAUUGUUUACUUUCUUGUCUUUCCUCCAGUGAACAGAGUGGAAGACCAGGUAUCUUCGUAGUUGGCUCUGGAAUGAUUGCUUGCAGGAUUUCAUAUUUUCCAGUGAUCAGCUUAGUUGGAAGAGAUAGAUAGGAGAAGCGAAUGCCAGAUGCGUGGUGUGCCAAUCAAUCCAAUUUCGUUAGAUCGAGUCAAGAUAAGAAGGAAAAAUUCUUUGGAGUAAAGUCGCCUGGAAGAAAGAAUAGGAAUUGAUCUAGCUAUAGUAUAGAUAGAGUGUCAGAUGAAAUGCUUGACAAGGCAAGGAAACAGAACUUCCACAUCCUCUGUUCACACUACCUGGAUUGGAAUUGGUUCUAUCGAGAUAUACUGACUUGAAACAGGAAUUUCUUGGUAACUGCUGCUUCUUUGAAGCAAGUGCUUUCGGGUUGGCUUUUCUGAUAUGUGUAUUUGCUACCCAUACGGAACAAUUUCAUUGAUGAAAGAUGGAUGGCUAUUCUCCACAUUUGCCAGCACAAUGCACUUUUUCUUCUAUUUCGUGAUUCCUUUCUUUCUGUCGCCAUUUGAAAAUUGAUUUCUCCUCCUGGUUUUAGUCACACACGUCUUUUCCACCUAGGAAGGAUGCCCCUACGAUCUUUUCAUGCUCUGCCUUCGCCCGAGCGGUCCCCAAGGAAGGAAGCCAAUAGUGGGAGUGUCAGGACGGAACUUCAUGAAUGAAAGGAUUUGCACUGCCCCACCGCGCCGCAGGGACGAACUUCAAUAGCCCAUCAUAGCACUCUCAGUCAGGGGGUUAGGGAACUCUUGAAGAUAUCGAUAGAAUAACAUUUCUUUUUCAUAAGUUUCAGUGGACGCAGAGCCAACAAGUGCAGUUUUUCAGCGUAAGGUCAGGUUACAGAAAGGCCUAUUUUGAUUAGCAAGGCAUUGCAAAUAAAUAGGUAGAGCAGAGAGCUAACCUAAGGAGCGAUCUUGUUGUAGUUGGUCUAAAGGGGGAAAUAAAGGACUGUCCCGCUACUACUUCCUUGAUUCACGGGAAAGAAGGAAGACCGAGGGUAACUAACUCUUCCUUCUGAAAAAUCUAUAUCCCAGCUCGUUUUCAUCGAGCCUUCCCCCCGUUUGGAGUAUAGCCAAGUGGUAAGGCAUCGGUUUUUGGUACCGGCAUGCAAAGGUUCGAAUCCUUUUACUCCAGAGCAUACUUAUUCUAGAAAAUAGAAAAAGAAAAAGAAAGUCUCAUCCCUAAUAAAUAAAUGAAAGUAGAUUUACAUUAUUUUUGUAUUUCUAGGGGGAAUGUUGAGGCAAACUUACGAUGCUGACAAGCUGGUUAGGUGCCGAGUUGGAUUAGACAUCGCAGGUUUCAGUUUAAGAAUUGGGAAGAGGUUAAGAACCUAGUGGAAUCCACUACGAGGGGAAGUGCUGAAGUGAAGAAAAGCCCCAAUUUUUGAGAGGAUUGCAUAAUUGGAGAGUAUAAUUGGAGCAAAGCCGUGAUCUGGUAGGCGACUGGUACAAGUGCUAGACUGGAGCUAGACAAGAAGCGUUGAGCAGGAACUUGAGCAAUUCUAGAAACCUUAGAAGAAACUGGAUAUGUGGCAACAAGAAGGGCUUAGCCAGAAUCUUGAAACAGGUAUGAUACCGACACAUAUCAGCCUGAUGUGAUGUACCUGAAUUCAUUCAUGUUCUGUAGAGUCUUUCUUUUAAUAUUCUUAUUUUUUCUCAGUUUAAUUAGGAAGCAAAUGCGGUUUCAAGAUGAACUCAACCUCGAAAAGGAAUUCAAUUAGCUGUGCAUUUAGCCCUUUUAUCUUUAAUAAUUGGUUGAAAUGGAUAUUGCCUGUCACUUGAAAAUAAGGUUGUUUCAUUUAGAAUUCAGCAAGUUUCUUAGAAAAUAGUUGUUAAACAGGUUGACGUUCCACUGGGAAUGGAAUAACAAAGGCUUUUGGCAGUUUGUGGAUCGAGAUGUGAUUCGCUUUUUGAGUAAUAGUUUCUUUCAUUUGGUGUGCUCUUCCUGGAACCGGUAAUAGGAAAAAUUUGGUGCAUUCUACUUUCUUGUUAUGGUAUUUACAAUCCUUGAAUUGUUUGAACCUGACUCUCAUUAUCUAUCUUCAUGGUCUUGAGGGUAUUUUGGAUAUCGUGGAGGUAACUAACGAUGAAUUCGUAUCUUGCCUCACCGAUCUGAACACGGAGUUUCCGAAGCUACAAGAGUGCUUGGUUAAAUGGUGCCAUUAAGUUUCAACUGUCUUUAAACUUACUACUUCAAGUGCAAUUAUCAACUCCUUGCAAAAUUGUUGGCUUUCUCAUCUACAAAAGGCAACUCUGGUAUGAAAGGAAACAGAUAAUUAGGUUCCACUCACUACGUCAACUAAAGCAACUGCAUCUGGAGCACUUACCAGGGAAAAUCGAAUAAAUAAUGACGUAGUACGAGGGGAUUUUUUCUCUCACUAUUGCCAUCCUGUGUUCAGUUCCCAUUUCGUAGUAGGUGACAGACUCAAAGUCAAUAGAUUCCUGUCCUUUUCUAUAGAAAUAGGCUUGGUCAAGUGCUUAAAAAAGAGGUGACCCGAAUGAUUUCAAUGAAUUGCUAUUUGGUCAGAUUGGAACAAUUGGAUUUGAAAGGAAAGAAAGACUGUGAACGAAGAGGGCCGCCCAUGAUCGAUUGGAUUCGGCAAAUAAAGUAGAGGGCCCGCCCGUGUCACCACCAGUCCACUGAACCAGCUGUAGAUUGCUAACUCUCUUGUCGACGCCCGGAACUUAUGUACGAGUUAAGAAUGAAUUGUUCCCGAGUAGAGAGGGCAGGAUAAGGAUUCAGUAAGAAGGAGAGUCUACUUAUGGAAAUGCCAUCCUCUCUUUCCUCAGUAACGGAGUGACUAGCUACCCCGACUUUUUAUUCCAGUUCCAUUCUUACUGGUGCAGGAGUCCAAAGUGCAUCUUCCAACUCCCUAACUGCGUCUUCCAUGAAGUUCGGGAGACCCCUCACGUGCCGCUGCCCGUGAGACUCGCCUUUGUACACUUUGCGCACCGCUUCGACUAGACCCUGCUACUACCUCGUAUCCAAAUACCUGCGAUCUAGCUCAUUCUUUUUUAAGCCCUGCAAGCCUAAUAGAACCUUGUUUCCUGGGCCAAGUCAGCCUAUAAGUAAGUAGGGCUGAAGACAAUUUGUUUGUUAGUUUUUCAAUAUUCUUCCUUCUAUGCUUAGAGUAAGUGGAAAUGACCUCCUUGAUCAGCAAGUAAGCGAGCGGUAGUUCAGUCUCCGAAAAGUGAGGCCGAAUAGCCCCAGGUGUCCUUUUCCUUCUAAACUAGCUGCUCUCGCUUGACUCUUCUAGUGAGCAAGCAAACUGGCCGGGGAACAGGGUCGGAUCAAAGUAAGGAAUGGGAAUAGCACUAAUUCGUUGAAGGUAAGCCAGAAACAGGGGUUGUCCUCUCCCUUACUUAAGUCCUAGUCCAUCUUUUCGUGCCCCAAAGGGGAAGUCAAGCAAUUAUGAGGGAACUUGACCCACACCUGACGAAAGAGUUUGGUAGCUCGAAGGAAGCAGAAGCAAAACCUGCUUUCUUUCUGUCCCAACCUCCAAGGGUUCCUCCCUGUAUGACAUAGUCCAUUGGAUUGGGGCAAUGGUACGCACCUAUGUUUGGUGUCCCCUCUCUCACUUCCUCGUAAAAUCGUGGUCCCAAAGGGCAAUACAUUGAGUCGGAAAGACGGGGGGCUUUCGUAAAUUCCAUUCUGUAGCCGAACUAGCCCGUGGAUCAGCUCUCAUAGUGGGAGAAUCAGAGUCAAGUUAGGCGCAAAAGAGGGGGUUGACAUCAUUCAUCGUGAUUGGAUCAAUCAGACUCCCCCACAGGAAAUGCCAAGGGGUGCCUUUUCUCAUUAUCAUCUACCGCCCAUUUCUUCAUCAUCUGCUGCUGCCUUAAGUGCAUAAAGUAGGCUCAGCUUCUUAGGUUUCUAAAUAUCUUGUAGUAGCCGAAGGUAGUCUAGUCCGCUUGUUAGAUUGAAUUGAAUCUUAUAUAACCUACGUAGCUAAAGAGAAAAUCAUAAUAGUCUAAGUGGACCUCUCAAAGGUAUAAAUAAGUAGACAUUAGUCUUACUGGUUCGGUCUUUUCCUUUUUUUGUUAUGAUGCCCACAUUUCAUACUUCUCAAUUCUUAUUUAUUCAAGGGUUCGUAUGUACUGAGUGACUCUAGGUCUAUUCAGAUGCAGCUUCAAGAGAGCUUUAUUCGGCCUUUGUAUGACCGUCUUCCCUUCUUGUCUAUCUCCUUCGGUCAGGUAGUUCUGCUUCUGAUGCCGGAGGAGCAGGGUGGGAUAGAAGGGUAGUUUCUAUGUUCGAGAUGUCUGAGCUUGGAGGUUCCGCUUCUCUAAUGUGAUAAUAAAGAAACAAGCAACUCCGCUCCCAUGCGCUCAUCCCUUGCUUGUUAUUGAGCGCUAGUCAUUCAUCCCUAGCUGGGUUCUUGGGAUAUCUUGAUUCUCUUUAUGAUGAUGUAAGGGUCGGCAACAAUGAAUAAGGAAUCGAUCGGAAGUUCGCGCCAGUCGAUCUUCUGUAGGAGUAAGAGGUAGCAUGAAUCCCCUCUUUCUUCGUUUAGAAGAGUGCUGGACCUCCACAACGUCAAACCAUAGAACACAACUCCUUUCGGUCGAACCCUAGGAAAGACGACUUUACCUUUUUCGUACAUAGUCUGAGUUCGAGCUACUGUAGUCUCCCCCGUUGACCUUCUUUUUUAGAUAGAAUCCUCAAUGAGUGGAAAGGACUCCCAAACUUGCUCCACAGUACUAUACCAUACAGAGCCGCGCCCUUGUGAUAUGAUAAGAAGAAAAGGGGCCCGGCCGCCCUCUUUUCUUUUCCGCACCAAGCCUUCUUGUAAAAUCGGGUGUAUAGCUCAGUUGGUAGAGCAUUGGGCUUUUAACCUAAUGGUCGCAGGUUCAAGUCCUGCUAUACCCAUAACAAAAAAAACCACUCUUGUAUUCGUAAGGAUGCAUAGUAGCCUUCAAAGAGCACUCUUUGGCCUUGAGAAAAGCCCAUUUCUCAUCAACAUCUCGAUUUCGCUCGUUGUUUGAGGUAAGUAUAAAGGAGAUCAGACUGGCUCGGUCAUUGAUAGGCCGGCCUUCUCCUUAUUCAUUGGAUAGGGCGGGGGGAAAGUCAAGUCAAGCACUAGUUAGUUGGGGUGGGACGCACCAAAGUAGCGUUCGUUGCACUAGCGCCUUAUCUUUUGAAGCUAAACAGAGGCUCGAAAGACGGAGUACGUCCGAAGUUGUUGGCUGCCUUUUUGUAGUGCGCAAGUCAGAGUGAACUUCUUCUUCUGUUCUGCGAAUCUACUAACGAGAACUGCCGUAUAGUCCUAUCUUUUUUUAAGAAAGAUCGUAGAUGAACGUUUUGUUUCGUUACCUAAGUAGUCGAGCAAUUCAUUCCAAGGUAAACAAAGAGGUAUUUCCUUUUCUCGUUCAGUCCUUCUCUCCUUCCAUCCCAGUAGGCCUAUUCAUGCUUUUUUGCUAUCCAUCUUGAUCAAAUAGAAGAAGGGGCGUACUAGAUACAACAAACUUUUGUUAUUAUCUAUCAAAAUAACGUACACGGGGAUUUGUUGAAGUGUUCCAGCGGUCAGCCACGACGCUCGCCCCACCGUCCAGACAGAGAAACCCCUCACCAAGCAGCGGAGCUCAGCAUUUCCACCACACCGACGCCUCCGGUCUCCCCCGCGGUUCCCUUUCCCGAGAAUCAGCUGAUCUCGGCCAUUGGAUCGACGUAUAAAUAUCCACGGGCAUGCAAGGCCGGACCUCUAUUUCUUCACCUGCCUCCCCUCCCACCUGGGCAUGACGACCUUCUCCAUGGAGGUGUUCGACAACAAGGUCGUCCCGUCCACGCUCAGCAGCAUCGCUCCCAUCCUGCGCGUCGCCGCCGAGAUCGAGCCCGAGCGCCCCCGAGUCGCUUACCUCUGUACGUGCAUUCGUUUUCGCGGGGAUACGUAUGGUGCAUUUCGCAUGCUGUUUUGAUGCGUUUGGGUUUGGAUUUUGUGGCAGAGCGAGCGCUCCUGGUUCAUUUUUUUGGCAUCGGAUCAAUGCCGCGUAGGCUGUGUGUACUUGGAAAAGUUUUGUGUUCCCACAUUCAAAAAUGUUUGUUCUUGUAUUUUUUUGGGGGCACAUGCGCGCCUCGAUUCGUGGUUUUCGAGGAUGUUUUGCUUUUGAUUCAUAAUCAUACGAGUCUAUGCAGAAAAACAGUUAGUGUGAUUUCCUGGAGAACUUUUCUGGCUUUGCCAUUUUUCCUUGCUUUGGAGAGCUAAUUUUGGAGUAUGUUCGUAAGCGUCCGCAUUAGAUUUUGCUUUCGGUGAUCAUCCAUACGUAUUACUUGUUCAUUUCGGAGCACCUUUGUGUUUCACACUUGAGGGAGCAGAUUAGAUGUACUAGAUAGUGGUAUUUCCGAUACUUUCUUCGUUUUGUUGAAAUCAUGUUGCAAUCAGAUAGUUAUGGUCAAUUGGUUUGGCUAGAAUAGUUUCACGUAUCUCAAACGGGGACUCGGGUAAUUGGUUUCUAGUUUUUACUACAUCCUGCAAAGUAAAUGGAAGUUUCUAGCGUUUUGCUCGCUUUAUUUUUCUAUUUUUUUUGGAGAGGCAAAUUGGGUUAGCCUUAUUUUCUAGACGUCCUUUUGAAAUGAUUCAAUUUUACUAGUUUGGAAAAGAAGCGGGGAAAUAGACACGGUGAGAAAGAUUGAAAGAAAAUAAGAUUGAAUCUAACCUAAAAGCCAGAGCAAAAUAGGGUCUAGGAGCAGGAAGAUUGGGGGAUUUUUUUAUCGGAUUUUGCAUAACUACCCUCUCGAAUCCAAAGAUGCCACUACAUAAUUUUAUGUUUUUGCUCUUAUGCAACACCACAGGAUAAUAGCCCCAGUCUCGUGAAGCGCGUGAAGAAGAGCGAUGCCCGUGAAAUUGAGAGUUUUUAUCAGCAGUACUACGAGAACUACGUCCGUGCACUUGACAAAGGGGAACAAGCUGACCGGUAAUUCUGAAGCUCCAAACCAGAGCUCUAUCUCGUUAUAAAUCUAAUCCUAGCCAUGACACACCCUGUCCCAUGCCAAUGUCGCCUUGAGGGCCCAACUUGGGAAGGCCUACCAGACCGCCGGAGUCCUCUUCGAGGUGCUCCGCGCCGUCAACAAGAAUGAGAAGGUUGAAGAAGUCAACCCAGAGGUUUCGAGAGUGCCCAACUUCACCACCCGCUCUUAGAUUCCAGAAUUCGUGGCCUGAGCUUCAUUCAUUGAUUUAUUCGGGUGCAUUCCUUUCGCACCCCGGUUAUGAAAUUCCGUACUCAUUAAGUGCUGGCCCCCUUCAUCGUCAGAUUUAGGUUCACCGCUAGCAUAGCAUUCUCAAAUGCAGAUUGCUCCCCGCUUGAGCUACCAUACUUUGUUGGAUUUACGACAGACCCCCCUAUCAUAGUUGUCCCUAUAGAUAUAGAGAUCGCCUGGUGUUAUUAGUACACCUACCCUUAGCUAUCAAUAUCAAAAUCCCUACUUGUCUUUGGGUUCAACAAUGCACACUAACGGGAUGAAAUCUAUGCCCAGCGGGGCAGCUGUCCUUGUCCUCGGUUCAGUAACGGCAGUAGUGGAAAUACCUGUUUCGGUUCCGGGAAUCAGAUCGGUUCCUUCCUCUGCUAAGGCUUUGGUUUCAUCGUAUUGACUACGAAAGGUACGGUGUAGGUUCCCACGAUCUUUCCUACGAUUUCUACGAAUAGAUGACUACGACUAACGCAAGAGGGAUUCCUGCGACUAACGCUAGAGCAAAGGGAAAGGACAAUGAAGCAGCAAUAAACAGAUUGAAGAGCUAUUAGUAUAGCAAGUUUUAAUUCAACAAUUAGUUAGUUUGGGAAGACUGCUUUGCCUGGAUUGAUGGCGAGCCUGGAAUCCUUGCUUCUCCACUAGGGGCUAAUUCCAUAAACAAGUUUUUCUAUCUCAAAAAUCAUUUUAGGAAUGAAUGAGAAUUUCGUUAGAUUUCGUAUACAAGGUAAUGCAUCGUACCUCCGUUAAAGGCUCAUUUUCUCCAAUCUCUGAAUUUCUGCGAAACGAAUUGGCAUAUAGAGAAUAGGUUUCUGGCAUGACCAAAAUGAACUUCACAGAUCCGAUACAAGAAAGGAUCGAUUCAAACAGCAAUUGUUAAGCGUCUCUGGAUAUUGUAGCAACCUACACGCCUGUCUAACCAAUGUAGUUCUGUCGUCAAGUUGCUCUGCUUGUUCAUUCUGAUCUUUCCAUUUCAUGUAAAGCACAGGAACACGGUGGAUCGUACCCCCCUGAAACCUACAGAUAGGGAGCUCCCAAUAGAAGGGAGUAACCGAAAUCAAGCUUGCUCACUGAGCAUAAGAACAUUGAAAGCAGGCGGACUAUCAGCAGCAUUGCGAUUCUUUAUUUGGGCAAAGCCAAGGUAUCACUUCGGGAAGAAAUGCUGUUUCAAACCACAAAUGAGUUGGAAUGGUCAAUUUGGUUUUUCAGCUACUAGUACACUCGCUAUGAAAUCCUAGAUCUUCUUGUGAGUUGUCUCCACACCAUUGCGAAAUAUUUGGAUCAAUGAUAGCAGAGGCAGGCAAGAAAAGCUGCUCAAAGGGGACGGCCCGAUGAUCGAGUUCGUGCUCGGGGAGUGCCAUGUCUAGCUAGUUCAUGCAGACACCCGCCCUUUCCAAUCAAUGGAGAAUGGUUACUAGAGCUAGUGCCUGUCCCACUUUAGAACACUAAGAACAUAAUAAGCCUAGCCGGGACAAAUGCACUCAGUGUUAGUCCGAUCACCUCGUCUAAAAUCAUCUUCCCUUUAUUAAUGACCAAGGGUAUCCAUAUCAUGAUAUGUAGAUAUAAGAGGGCAGAGGCAUUGAUGCGGGUAGGAUGCGUGUCUGCUUUCCUAUUGUUUGAAGGAGUAGAUACAUUCAUUUCCUUUUGCCAGAGUGAGAGUGAGAGUUGUGUGGGAUGUUGACAAUCACUAUCUCGUCUAGUGACGAGUGCUAACCUUACAUGAAUCAUGCCAAACACAGAAGAAAAAGAGGGGCUGGUCUUAACUGAAAGUUGUCCUUGUCCGGCUGAGGAAAGAAAAGGAUGACGAGAUGGGGACCCAAAGGUUCCCGGUGAGGAGGCCCGAUGCAAUGUUCGAAACUGUUGUUCCAGUUGUUCCUGUAUGAGGAAGAAGACUCCUUACGAAAGCUGGUUCAAACCUUUGUUCCUUGUUCCUCGGCCUUAGUUAGCAUUUUUUUGAACAGUGAAAUACACCUUUGUCCUGCGUUGCAUGGUGAGAGUGUGAAUGGAGACGGGGUGCCACUUUUAAAUAGGGGCAAUCCCGAAUAAGAAUUGAAGGAAAAACAGGCAAGCACUCAAGCGUGAGCUGAAAUACCGGGUCCUCACAUAGGAAAAUUAGUAUGAAAGGCCGAUAGAUCCAGGGUCCCCAGGUCCAAAUUCUUUCCAAUCAAGUACAAGUUCAAAACAGAGUUUUCCGGGACUAUCGAUUCGUAGUUUUCGAAUCUAUCGAGUUUCUCCGGAUCAGGAGGCUUUACAUACAAAGCCGACAACACGGUAACAUUACGCUUCUCUUUCUUAUUCUUAUUCUUAUUUAUAUAAUUUGUGCUACUUUCACAUGAAGUGAAAGGGACGCUGUUCAGAAGAGCCUUCCUACAUUUGCGCCCUGCUAAAAGCUAUCGCACCACAUGGUGCAGAGACACUCGACAAAAGACGAGCAACAGCCCUUGGCAGCCCCCAUGGCUGCUGCCUCUGCGCCAUCUUGCACUUGAUCCUCCGGCCUUCUGCCUGGAUCCAAGGAUGACAGAACCUGGGGCGGGUUCAAAAUGGCAGGGACUUCAACUGGUGGAGCAGGCAGAGCGGGGGGCGCAUCCGCGGGUUGAGCCUGAUCCCCCGCUGGAUCUGGCAGAACUGGCGGUGCGUCUGCGGGUUGAGCGUGACCCCCUGCAGGAUUUGGUAAAACUUUCUCUCCGUCAUCUAAUAAAACAGUUUCAAAACGAAAUCCAUGGGUAAACAAAAAUCAAAGAAAAAGAAAAUGCAAUUCGUUGGGGGAACGGGUUACACGAUGAAUCAUCCCCCUUUUAAGAAACCAAAGUAAUAAUAAUGAUACGAAAAUCAAAAGGAGAAGGAAAGGAAAUUCUAGGCCGAUGGGAAAAUGAAAAAAGAAUUUCCCGAAAAAAAGGAUGGGACCUGGAAAUGGAAAACAAACCUACUAUAAUACGAAUCCUCUUCUCGGGGAUCAUAAUGUCAAGUUGCUUUCUUACUCGAAAGUACUAAAUAGAUAGGCGCUUGGGCCAGGUACAAUUGAAUGAAAAGAAGCAAACUACCGUUGUUUUAGGAGGUAUGGGAGGGCGGAGACCGAUCGAUAGAAGUGUCUUUUCUUGGCUAUCCAGAUUUAUUGGAUCAUUCCUUCCUGUGACGCCUUUUCCCCCAUCCAUAUCCUACGCUACGCAUGGAGUUAGCACAGUCUAUGACUCGGUCCUGGGACUCCUUCUUUCUAUGUAUAGACAGAAGGAGGUUCUGCUUUCUAUUUAUAGCUACUGGAUCGUAGUAUUUCCUAAGAAAAAAGGAUACGCGAAACGUAGUUCCAAUACCUCUGAUGUGGUCCACCCUAAGAGCAAGCCAAAAUCUAGGUGAAUGAAAGGGCAACUGCAGUUCAGCCUUUGAUUGACUUCAACACAACUUACCCUUUAGGGUAAUAGGAUGCCACUACUUGACCUUUAAUCAUUCAAGUUGGAUAAAAAGAUAGGAAUAGGGAUUUUCUUCUUGAUCCAAUCGGAACUCUUGAAUUGAGGGGUGGCCAAAACACCUUGUACCUUUCCCAAAACUUGACCUUCGAUGCAAUUGUUUUCCUUUCUAGUUUUGACGAUGGAAUGAAUCUACUUUUGACUUGUCCUCCAUAUGCAAUAGUUUGAUUGUCAGGUUUCAAGAAUGCUGGAAGAGAAGGGAAACCUCAGAGGCAGAAGGUAGAAAAAUGAUUUCAUCAUCUUAUGGAAGGCAUUUUCGUUUUGGUAGACCAUUGGGGCAGAAGGAACACUCACCGUAGGCAAUUCGUAACUCUAUAUAUGCAAACCUUACAUCAAAAAUUGUCAUUCUAUAGAUAGCUUAAGUUUGAUACCUUCACAAAUCCCCAUCGUUGACCGAGAUGGAGGUAAUCUAACCAUUGGAAUAUUUCCUUUCUGAAACCUGCUAUCUUUCCACUUCUAUCGGCUCACAACUUUUGGAUCAAUUCUGCGAUAAGGCUGGAUGGCCAAGGCGCCCUUUCGAGACUAGGACUCUCAGGUGGGUAAGAUUCGGAAAACAGAAAAGCUAACCUGAAUUCCUGCUUAUCCCUAGGCUGCUGCUCUGUACUGCCUUCCCUCAAGUCGGUAUCUUCUUCCAUCAUGAAAGUUGGUAAGCAAUCUAGUCGGCAACAGGGAAAUCAGGAACUCAAACUAAUAGCUUCCUUGGUCUCUGAACAGAGCACUACACUAGAUGAGGGAAUCGAUGGAUGUGCACCUUUUAGGGGAAGAAUGCCACAACCCUUCCUUUCGAUACUUUGGGCCUUACAAGAUUCUAGCACGUGUUGGUGUUGUUCCAUAUUAACACCGGGAGCUACCUUCAACUUCUCAAGUGCACCCUGUAUUUUUCAUGUCUCUAAGCUUUGACGUGCUGUUCCCCCGCCCACUGUCUCAGGUAUCCUCUCGUUUACCAUUUGAGACUGACAAUCCCUCUGUCCCUAUGCAAGUUUUGGUGAGUCGUUGGUAUAAGUAAUAAAGGGAGAUCAAUUCCUGGAACAAGGCUUGAUUCGCUGGUCCGAGUCGAUGGCACUGGACAAUACUUGGGAGGACCUCAUCGACCUGAAGACUCAUUUUCCUUAUGGAGCGGCUUGGGGUCAAGCGCUUUCUCAAGGAAGGGGGAAUGUUAGCGCUUCUACUUCGAAUACUCGUGCCCCGAUUACAACACAAGACGACGUCGGCCCACGAGCCAGACCCAGGAAGAAUACGAAGUCCAAUUUCCUCAACCGCACACACGGAUAAGACGCGAGACAGUUUCUGAGGGAUAGAAGUCUUGAUCGGGCCAAGCCGGCAUAACAGUUAGUGUUCGCAUUACUUUCUCUUCCGAAGCACGCACAUUCGAGUUCAAUAUGGAUGCACUGAGCGCUUAAGACCACUCGUUGGAUGAUAUGGUCAAUCAUACUCCAGAGUGGGGACAGCAUAACAAUAACAUUCUCUCUUUAGAUUCGAGAUGUAUUGAUCGAGACAUGCCUCACUCUAGUGAGGAUUUGAGCUCCCUGAUAGACGUAGGGCCCGCUCGGUACGCUGUCAUUGUUUAGGGGGGUUCUUAAUUAUAGCAUGAAAGUCCGAGUUGGAGGAAUGAUAUUGGGCUUGAGAAGUGAGCAAGGAACCUGACAUAACAUUCCUAUGGUUCCUCUGUCCCGGUCUUGCACCACUCUCAUAUCCAUCAAUCAAUUUCAUAGAUAGUUACUAUGGUUGUUUCUUCCUCCAUUCACUAAAACAAAUGGAACCUUUCCCUCCUCGAGUCAGCAAGCCAACUCGAGCGUUUUACCCUCGUGUCACUAGCGCAACACGAGCCAUUCAAAAAAAAGUCUUGGAACUGAAGAGAAAUCCAUCUCUAUACAAACUCUUUAUGUUCUUGAUAUUGAUUGAGUUACGAGAAUGAAGAAGCGUAGCACACCUUUUCUCUCAAUUCAAGUUUCCAUUCAAUAAGUGCAUCAAGUAUUUCGUAUAGAAAGAAAAGGAACCACUUCUCUUCUCUUAAGUAUAUGAAAAAUAGCUUUUUGGUCCCUUUCGUCCAGAGCUUAGGACAUCGUCUUUUCAUGUCGAAGACACGGGUUCGAUUCCCGUAAGGGAUAGGUACUUAUUCCCGGCCGGCGGUAUCAAGAACCCGGAUAGUCAGUAGGAAACUCCAAUCUGCAAGCGGAACAACGAGUUUAGAAGGCACGUUCUUGAAAGAGCAGGCUGACUAUGAAACUCAUAUAAGGCUCGCGAUCGGGUGCAUUGUUGACUCGGGGGCGGUUCCAUAGGCGGAUACUCUAAGACGGAUCAAGUUGGGCUAUAUAUUAUGGAAAGUUGACCCUACUUUCCAAUUUCGUAGAUAGAACAGUUCCAGUAGAAGGUUAACCCGGCCUUCCUAAGAGUACUAGGUUAAAGGGGAGACCUCUAAAGCCCAGAAAGAACUAUCCUAUCCCUUUAGGAAUCCAAAAGCGCCGUAUCUGUGGAUCACUAAGGGCUAUACCCAAUGAGCAAAGUAGAAAGAGCCUAGGAAAAUGCAUCUUCUCCCUAUUCAGUCAGCAGUUGUCCAUCGACUAGUAUUACUUACCGCACCGCCCGGCGAUAAGGGAUUUCUCAGUGAUAGACCCACGAGAGCGUGUGUGCCAGUGACAAAAGAAGUGCGAGACGAUCUGGGAAGUGAGGGAUGCCCUUCCUGGGUAUCACGAGCGGCGAGGCAGGUACGGCUGGAGGAAAAGCAAGGCAACAGGGUGCUAGGUUUAAGCAAGUAUUGUCCGUCCGAUCAUUGGAAUCGUCUUAGCCGAAAAAGGCAGAUCUGGUUUCACUAGUAGGAAGAACACCCUUCUAAGGUGAAGGUAUUCCAUUUCUAAGAAGGAAGUUCUAUAUAUUCGAACUAUAGAGAAGCUCUAAAAUGGAAAUCGAAAAGGAACCCCUUGUCCGUCCAGGUACUCACCCCGCCGGAACUCGCAAUCAAACAUAGGGUUGGCAAACUAGGAAGGCACAGAAAAGAAGGCAGUUGCGAAGGCGAGCAAGGUAUUUUUGAAUUUCCUCAAAUUGAUUCAUCAAUGAAGUAGUUGAAUUGAAGUAAAUGUGCCUACGAAAGAAGAGUUUUCGAUAUGGAUAUGCGAACAGGAAGAAAGCAAGCAUAUAUUACUAUUGCAUUGGCAACGAACACCAUCAAACAAAGAUAGCUAUUGAGGAGGAAGACCUGGAUAGGGAGCCAGUUACGAAUAAACCUGGGACUAGGAAACCCCGAACUACGAAUGGAAACACUUUUUCAAGCAGGGGUAAACGGAUCUGGUUAGGAAGCCGGAGAUGGAAGAGAGGGUGUCGUGUCGGAUCUUCAAUCGGGGCAAACAACGGAUGCUCGGGAUAAAGCUGGACUUCGAUUGGUUUUUGAUGGAUAUGAGCUUUCCCUGAAUAAGGAUCCAAAUAUGCUUCCUAAAACAGCAUGCGCAAUGGUGGGCCGAGUACAUAGCAUAGCGUAUAUCAAGUAUCCAAUGCCUUCCGAAUAAGGAAUGGAAGCCGACUUAAUAAAACUACAUCUUGCUGAUGUAGGUGUAGGCAGGUAUUCUAAAAGGAGUGACAAUAUUGGGUGUAAGGAUUCUUCUAUGCAAACAUUGACCACUCGUAUGGUAGCCUCACAACCAUCUACAAGGGAGACUUCCACCUCAACCUGAAGUUCACCCACGUGGAGCCUUUACUAGUCGGAGUGGUAAGACUACAACCGAUCCUCUUCCCCAAUGCCAGCGUUGUAUGUACCACCUGCCUUCUACCCUAGCCGGCCCAAUACCUUCUCCGCAGGGACCUCAACAGUUCACUACUUCUGCUGCACAGCCUAGUUCUUCUACACCAGCAGCUAUUGCUCCUAAUAAUCCAUCAUCAAUCUGCUUCACCUGUCAACCCGAAGCUGCCAUUUCCAGAACGGUUUGUGAAGUCAACUGAAGACAAACAGAUUGCGAAGUUUCUGGAUAUGAUGACAGAUAUGCAGAUUACCACCCCCAUCCUUGAUGGUGUCUUACAGGUGCCGAUGUAUACACAGUUCUUUAAGGACCAGCUCGCAAAGAAGCGAAACAUUAAUGAGCCAGAACUGGUUACUCUUACUAAGGAAUGUAGUGCACUCGUUCAAAUAAGCUACCUCUCAACUUAGAUGAGCCUGCCAGUUUCAGUAUUCCAUGCUUGAUAGGAAGUCAAAAUUUCCAUGCUUUAUGUGGUCUUGGGUCUACUGUGAUUCCCUUCAUUAUCUACGAGCCACUACCAUUGGGUGAUGUACGACCGACUAGCAUCACUCUCCACCUUGCUGAUGAGGAUCCGGCAGACAUUUUGGGUGAUAUCCCUGCGAUAGUUGGUAACUUCGCAUUUCCAGUUGAUUUUGUUGUCUUGGAGAUGUAGGAUAAGAGCUUUCCUAUUUUUUGGGGGGAGACCUUUUCUAGCUACUACAGGGGCUGUCAUCGAUGUGAAAGAUGCUAAGCUCACGCUUCAAUUUGGUGAGGAGAAAGUCUCAUUUGACAUUAGGUAUAUCUUCCAACUCACCUUCCUCACUGACAGACCAUAGUAAGCAAUAUGAAACGAGUCACUUAAGCCCUAGUAAAAGGCUACUCUUUGAAUCCCCUCUUUAAGGCAUAUAAAAUUAGUACUCUUCCUGAGCUAGCUUAAGCAUAUCUCGAGCGAGUGAGUUUCCCUCCAUCAAGUUCUAAGCGAUCAAAUAAGGUCCUUGCUCUCGAGCCAAUGCCAAUACCAAUAGAUAGGGUCUAAAUGAAGGAUUAAAAGGAGGUUACCGGUUAAGGGCAAAUGUAAUCUCUGAGCCAGUUGGAGAAAAAAGGCAAUCAAAGAAAGUUUCAGUUGGACUUUCCCUGCCAACCCUACCCAAAUUUCAUACCCUGCAGUUUUCAUUCCUCUAUUGAUAUUUCGUUCCUCGAAUCGAGACUUUCUUUGUCGAGGAUCUCUGGUUUAGGGUACUCCAUCGAGUUUCAGUUUCUUCUUCUAAUGGCUGUGUCCGUCUAAGGUGGCUAUUUGAGCGAUUUAAGUAUCGCGGUUGUCUUGAGCUCUGGAUUGAUGGACGAAAACCCGGGGCUGGGUUCGAUUUCAACUCGGAGAUAGCCGGGUCUAUAGUAAGAACCGCUUUGUGAACAGCAUCGGAUGACAUAGCCAGGGUAGGCGCAAUAGAGCAAUUAUGCCUUAAGCCCAAAACUCUUCCUUCUAGGGAUCAGAUCAACCUAAAGCACUAUCAGUUGUGGAUUCAUCCACAAAGUCUUUCUACUUAGCUCGUAAAGCGAAGUAGCUAUCAACGGCUUUAGCAUGACAACUAGAACAUCAAGCCAUGGUAAACUGCCAAAGCUUCUGCUGUAGUGUAGCACCAGGGUUCAGCCUUCUCCUUGCCGUGUUGCAUCGCCCACAUCGUGUUCAAUUGGAAAGUCUGGCAAAGACGCUUCCAACUCCUGGUUCAGGGUCUGAGGUUACCAAACAAAGAUGAAUCCUGCGCAAUUAGAGAUUAAGCCAUAAGAUCCCACCCCGAAACUGGAAGAGUCGGGGGCACCUACCGAAGGAGUCUUCCCUCCAUCGAUUCAAUGACAAAAUAGCUCUAUUGAGAGGGCCUUUGACAACCCUCUUGAAUGUGGCUCGCUCCUAGUUUUUCUUCCCCCGCCUGUUCUAUCUAGGCUGGUGGCUAUACCAGAUUUCGUGUCUGAUCGAACUUGAAACUAGCCCAUUGAGCUUCUUGGAUUCCAAACCGGAAAGAAGGAUCGCACAUAAGAAAAUAGAGUUGGAAUGAAAGAUGGGGUAAAGAUGAACUUUAUUCUCCUAGCUGCUCUCCAUCCAGCAAGUUACUCUCUUUCAAAAGAUGACAACUCAAGAUUACCAAUCAAAACCAACGCUUUUUCUACUCCUAUAGCUUCAUCAUUACAUCUUUCACUAGUUGUUGGAUGUGAGUGAUGAGAUCGAUCCAUGGAAUUUUUACCUCACUCACAUACUUUGGAAGAUGAAGAAAUUCUCUUAAAUUUACUUAUGGGCUAGCUCUACAUGUGGUCAGAUGGGUUCCCCUCUUCAGUCAUUUGGUACCUCUCCAACGCUUCCUCCUAUUCCUAUUGAUCAGAUCAAAGCCAAACCUAUCUAGUCUUGCACGUUGUCACCCACCGCUCUUGCCAAAAACAAAGAAAUUCUAUCUUGGGAACUAAAAAAGAAUCGGAAUGGGAAGUAUUUAUUUCUUGAUUCUCCGGCUAGCAUCCUUACUUCCUUCUUCAAUGGAAAUUCUAUGUUUUGGCUCGGUAUAAACCAAAAAAUGAGAAAUUCUCUUAUUUGUAGAAAAGUCUUCUUUUGGUUAAAUCUGGAGAACCCAGUCGAAACUCUGAUUCAUGUUUGUGGAUUUUAAUAGCUCUCCUAUCUACCCGGAAAUGAUCUUCUACCUUUACUGUCUGUGUUCUUUACAUAUCUUUUGAUUGUUUUUCAAAUCAUUGUGUCGUUACAAAUUCAGUGGUUGCACCCUUGUGAGCAAGUUGUUGCCGGAUUGGAUAGGAGAAGUGAAACAAAGCUACGAAGGAUAAAAAUUAGCUAAAGAAGUUAAGAAGAGCAUUAGUGAAGCGAGAGGAGGACAAGAUGGUUGGGAAGAGGAGGAAGGGGUAUUAAGGAAAAAUGGGAGGCUUUAUGUGGGGACCGCUGGAAAUGCAAGAGCUAGGAUAGCGCAAGAACUGCAUGGAACAGCUACCGGAGGCCAUUCAGGUAUACUAGCUUCCUAUAAGAGAACUAAUAGGAACUUUGUCUGGCCAGGAAUGGAUGCCUCUCUUGAGGACAGACUGUGACGGUAAAGCAACAACAUCAACUCGCAAUGGCCCUCGUGCCAUGAGACAUGGAUUUUAGUCGACGUAGAUUGGAUCGAAAGAUCACACUUCCGCUCUUCUCCUAUCGGACUAGUCACUUCCCACUCUCCUCAAGUGAACAGUUUAGCCACUAUCCUCCCAUAUACUCUGCUUUUUCAUUGCUUAUGAACUGGAACUUGUUGGUGCAUGGAUUUCAUGUUUCAGCAGCACUUUGGUUUGUGCAUGGUUGUGAAAAGAAGGCUUUCUAUACACUUAUAUGAACUUCAUUGGCAAAACAAAGAGAAGCUUGCCUUGAUAAAGCACAGCCUUUCACACUCCAAUAGGCAUAUAUUGUUACAAGGUUAUGCCCAAAGGUCUCAAAAACGCCGGUGCUACAUAUCAACGCGCCAUGACUAAGAUCUUCGAUGAGAUAAUACAUAAGAUUGUCGAGUUCUAUGUAGAUGAUCUCGUUGUAAAGGCGGUAUCCUAUUAAGAACAUCUUCAACAUCUCAGAAUCGUAUUCGACCGCCUAAGGCAACAUGCACUCAAGUUAAACCCAUUGAAGUGCGCCUUCAUGGUCUCGUCAGGCAAAUUCCUUUUGAUUCUGUUGUCAGAGGUGCCUUUCAAUUUCAUUGACCUUGGUACUGCAUUUCAUAGAUACCUUCGCUAUUAUAGUAACGCAAUUCUCCACUGAACCCAUUGACCUAGGUACCGAGCCUUUUAUGCGUACGUCUUUUCGGACUCUUUAUUUGUUUGUGGACAACAAAAAUGCAAACAUGAGAAAAGGGGACCAUUCCAUUUUGAACACACCCAUCUAUCUCAUCUGACCUCUCCGAAUUCCCGAGUAACGAACCAUGGGCUAUAGAUGGUUGGGACAUAUCAUCAUCCGGAGGGAGUGGUCUUAAUACUGAUGUCUUUCUUUAACCUUUGGGAGGUCAAACCACUGAACCUAUUUCUUUGACCUUGGGACUGAUAGAUAAGAAGGCAAGGCAGAAGAACCAAUUGAAUCGCGGAGAACAGGUAGCUCCGGCAUGUGAACUUGUCGAACCAUUCAACUAUACUGUAUAUCGAUUGGCCACAUCAACGCAUUUCACCUUGGAACUUGUACUUGGAAUAGAGCCAGCCUUGAGAUCCGCCACAUCUUCCUUCAAGUCAGAGAGUUGAGAUAGAACAGCUUCGCCUUUGACCGGUUUGCUGCUUUCCUUUAUACACAAGCCCCUAUUAUUAAGGUAUGGAGGUUUUUUCUGGAAUGACCAAAGAACAAGAGAAGUUCAAUGAGGUGCAAACACAAGAAUUAAAGCAACGAGGACAAGUGCUAGGAUAGGAUCCCGAAGGAUGGCAUGCCUAUUUAGCAACAUGCAGAAAGGAUGGCUUCACGCAAGAAUCUUGAUGAACCAGGUAUGUCUUCUACUAACAGAUAUGCUAUUUGCAAUUCCAUUGAUUCUGCUAGUCUAGUAAAAUCUGCUGUAGAUAGUGGUCUAGUGUUGGGCAGUAGACAGGAGGAAAUUGACAGGUCUAUAAAUUCUAUUAAAGCAAGAGAACUUGCUCAAGCAUUGCUUUAUGAAGUUGCUCAGAAAAAGAAGUUAGCUGCUCAUGAGAAGGAGCAGUCUUCCAGUGUCGAGUUAAGCUCUGAUUCAGAGAAUGAGGAUAUUACUCAGAUUGUUGAAGAGUUAGAUAAUCACAGUACUUGUAUACCAGUUGGUGACAAGAACACUACGAGCAGAGCUAAGAGGAGGCAUAACAAAAAAUAGAUACCGCCAUGAAGACACUAAUCUUGAAUGUGAGGGGCCUGGCCAGGUAGAAGGGGGCAACCUUCUGAAGUGAUAGAGUGGGUGGACAUAGUUUGUGUUCAAGAAACUAAGAGAGAACAGUUCUCAGAUAAAGAGUUAAUGGCAAUUGGUGGCAGAAAGCUUUUCAAGUGGUUUUGCAAGCCAGCCAGUGGCAGUAAGGGUGGAAUGCUUAUUGGAGUCAAUCUGGAUGUCAUGGAUGCAGACCUCAUUGGGGAGGGUCAAUUUCUCCAUGGUGUUUGAGUAUAGAGGCUUUGUGAUAAUUGUGCUUGGGUGGAUGUUUAUGGUCCAACCAAAUUUAAGAGCUAUGUUUUUGUCAGAGCUCACUAACUUUGUGCAGAGUGUUGAUCUACCUUUGCGGGACAUGAUCAGAUUUGCUCAUGAAACAAUGGCAGAAUACAUAUUAAUAGGAUGGAAGCUUUUAAUGCUUUCAUAUCUGAAACUGAACUACAGGAACUGAGAAGGGUUGGUGGCCUGGACUAACAAACAAGACAGGCCAGUGAGAGAAGUUUUGGAUAGAGUUCUGGUUUCUUCAACUUAUGAGGAUUUAUUUCCUAAGUUUUACUUCCCUCUUGCAAGCUGGGUCAGAUCAUUGUCCUUUACUUCUAGAAAAUGGGGAAGAUAGGGGCUGCCACUAAGUUUUGUUUUGAACCAUCUGCAAGAAGGGUUUAGAGAUAUGCCGUUACAGAAAUGGCCUACAAGAACUGUUGCAAAUGUUCCAUUCCAGACUAUUGGCAACAAGUGUCUCAAGGCUUCAGGAAGUUCUUGAGAGGGUGGAAGGAAAAUGAUGCUACUGACAAUAGAAGAAGUAAAUCCAAUCCCUGCUUUAGCCUUGCUGCUUAUUCACUGGCAAUCCAACCAUACCAUUCUUGUCUAUCAGGAUCAGUCUUUCCCUCAAGUCACCUUAACAUGCUUCUUUCUUUCCUUCACUAUGCAAAUACAAAACUAGGUUGCGGACGCAUAAAGCCACUGAUACUAUUGGUCAGAAGUAUGAUUUGACAAAAACUACUACUUUAGCAGCUAUGCGAAAUGGAAGUUUCCUUCUUCUUGCUUGUUUGGCCGUCCGAAAGGAGAUACAGAUAUCGGGGAGAAAGCAGCUCUCUGAGCGAUGGAUACCGAUCGAUCUCGGUUAUUUUCAUUGAUCCUGGCCUAUCUCCAUAGCGCUCACCCGGAUGGAAUUCACUCAGCUCUAGGCCGCAUCCAUCUGGUUGGCAUGAGAAAGAAGGCAAUUCCUUCCUUGGGUCAGAUCUCCGUUCCGGGAUGGAAGAAAGAAAUGAUGGUUUGGAUGAGCAAUUGGGAAACACAGAUGGGGUCAUGGAUGGAUACCUAAUGUGAGAUGCAUGCAUUUCGGAUAGAAUGUCACACUGGCUCUGGAGUGCCCGGGGGCGAUAGAUAUAUGGAUAUAUAGAAGGAAGGGAACAUCGUCUGUGAGCUCUCUCUCCUAAUCCACUUUCUUAUUGCAAAGGCUCCAACAGAGCAAAGUUGUACAAAAAGAAGUAUGCAUAUGGUCGUUCCCCUUCGAAAGGCAAUGGAAAGCAAGGGUCCCGCUAGCAUUGAGGAAGGAAGCGGUGAGACCAGUUCAGCCAUAACCUUGAAUGAAUUUAUAUAAGCCAGGAUCUUGUACCGGGUACGGAGACUCUCUAGUGAUGCUCCCCUACCCCCCUCUGCCUAGGGUAAUAAGCUGGAGUGAUAAGCUUAAGGUAAUAGCACAUAGAGAGCUAAUACCAUAUCCCGCCCGGCUCCGCCUUUAGCUGACCCAGCCUGGACUUCCCCUUCAAGCGUUCAAGAAUAAGCAUGGGAGUCGAAUAGAGAUGGCACUUGGAAACUACCGUUGGUAUUUCAGGUUUCACAUUGUACAGAAUGAAAUCAUCGAUAGGGCUCGCCCCGAAGAGAGGAUGCCGCGCUUAAUAGAAAAUUGUUUAGUUUAGGCAUUUAGCUUAGCUUAAAAUAGAUAUGUAACAUGAUGUACUUACACGUGCAACCACUCCGUCUUCUAGACCAGGGUCAUAAUUGAACCCACAACAAACCUUAGAUGAUGUGACUUCUCCACCCUCUAGGCAAUUCAAAACUGGUCCCAUUAGCUCGAAUUUACUAAUGUUAGAAAGGAAGACGAAGGUGCCAAAACAAAGCAUUUGUUUCAAGCACUGUCGUGUCCUUGAGCUUCAAAGUCUCCAAAAUCUUGAUCGAGAAGAGUAAGCAUUGCCUGGUGAGGAAGAGCGGAAGCAUAGGUUUUUGGAUCCUAGCGAAGGAGUUUCAAGCACGGAUUACGCUUCUAAAGAGAACUAUUUGGCUUGGCCCCUUCCUACCAAAGAUUUGAGAUAACUAAAGCGACUCGCAGUCAAAACUGGUGGAGCCAACGCCAAAGAGGAAAUGUGUAGAUAGUAGGUGAGCGCCUAGCCCCUUAGUCUUUCGGAUCGGAAGAUUCAUUGGUUUCAUCCAAAGGCUUCUGUCUCGUCUUUCUCAAAUUGUUGAUCGAGGAUCAAAGACAUUGCUAAAGCAGACGCCUACCAAACGGGAGUUCUUGUACCUGCUAGAACAGCAUCUGCUCGAACUUUUGUUUCUUAGAAAAGAAAAUAUGAACUCACAAUGUGCAACAGAAAUGUACCCACCGGUUGAGAAACCACCAUAGUUGGAUGAUUGCUCGCGCUAGUAAGACAGCUUUGACUCUUCUUGAUCGUGAUCUGGUGAUCGGUCACACCCUCUUUAGAGGUUCUAGGCCCUGCCUAUUGAGUCAUCUACCACAGAAACAGAGUCUCGUGAUGAUCCUGGUACAAAAGGUUCGUCAGGCCCGCAUUCAGAGACUUCUGCCUCAGACUCAUAUCCAUAAAGAUAUUCUCUCGCUUUCUAGCUGUACCCUUCUUCACACCCACCACGGAGGUUAGAGAUUUCCCGUUAUCAACAUUGUCCAGGCAGGACUCUAUUUUUAGAAUGCUUGGAGCCAACCAAACAGUUUGCUACGUCCCUCGAGAAAAUCAAAACUUCAUUGGAAAUUCAGGACCAACUUAGGAAGGCACGGACUCAUACUUUGUAAGGUCGAAGUCCACACAUAAGAAAAUAACUAGUGCCUAGGAAUACCCCCUUCUUCACCAAAGGGUGCAGUUAACUAACCCAAUUCACCGGGAUCAGACGCUAUCUCAGACAUUUAGCUAAGAUGUUAUGCUCUUUUGAUUGAAUUAUAAGAGAAUUCAAUCCCUAAUUGGGCGUACCUUCGUUGACAUCGAAACGCGCUCGCUUGAAGCCCCUACGGAGGCGGGUUUGUAAGAGAAAUAAGAGGUGAAUUAGCGCAGUUAAGAACUUCCUAAGGGCUACCACCGGUGGCCACCUCAAAUAAUGGAUCAAUUGGAGCUUAUUUGUUAAAGCCACCACCCUGGUAUCACAGAUCCAACUUGGUUCAACGAAUAUAAACAAGAAUUUAAAGGGAUAAAAAUUAAUGGCCGCCGCAUUGCUCGUGUAAUUUGCUAAUCCAAAUUCAACAUUUAAGUGCAUUUCAGUAGCUUGAAACGAAGUCAUUGCUACUGGCUUCACUAUUUUAGAGAUUACUCUGGGCAGAAUCCACCGACUUCAAUAGCUAAUUGGACCACUGCCUCCUUCAACAGGAGUAAUAAAAAUGCUUUCUACCGUCGCCUACUUCUCCGAGAGACCAGUCUAAAACCAACCAAAAGGUGAACAAAAUAAGUCAUAACAGAGGUUUCGAGAGUGCCCAACUUCACCACCCGCUCUUAGAUUCCAGAAUUCGUGGCCUGAGCUUCAUUCAUUGAUUUAUUCGGGUGCAUUCCUUUCGCACCCCGGUCAAUGAAAUUCCUGAAUUCAAGUACCUCGACUUUCCAAUAUUGAUAGUUCGCGAAAGAACUAAGAUCUUCAAGGCUAUACCAACUGAGCUAUCCUGACCAUUUAUGGAAUCUAGAUUCCCCGGUUUUCUUCCUAGCUCGGACUCCUUGUCUGGAAUAGGUCGCAUAACAACCCCCCAGAGGGAGACUCGAGUUAUUUACUUCUUUGUUAAAAUAGAUUAUAUAGCCAUGAUGGUUGGUCAAGUGGACAAUGCCCAGGUGGGUAGACCCAUAUAGUAGGGGAGAUAAAUGCCCUGCAGUGCUAUUGAGACCGAUCUAGGUUAUUGAUGGCUUUUAUUUAAAGACAAGGAGCUUAAAGGUGAUGGAUAAGGCUUUCACCCAUCCGAUACUGAGUAAUCCGUUAAUCGAUCCCCAAGGGAAGGGUACUUGUAUCUAUAGCAGAUUGGUGUUUCAAGCAGGCCAGCCCACUCUUAACAACAAUGCAAUCAGUCCAUUCACUCAAAACCGGAACCCACACUCAAAGUUAAGGUCAAUACUCCAUUUAUACAUACCAGCCUCGACAGAGGGGGAGCACCUACAGCAUAAUCACUCAUGAACACAUAUUGACUCACUUCUAGAUAGAUUAGUUGAUUCACAAUGCCCGCAGAUACCUAUAUAUGUUAUUGAACCUUUUUAUUGGAAUAUGUUUAUCUAAGGCAGACUGAACUAGUCUUAAUAUAUGGAAGAUCUUGGGGACAAGGAGCUUAAACGUUAUCGAUCGACAUAUUGGCUCGAUCGGGGCCCAGGCUCUGCCCUCCGAGCACUUAAGCAUGCAUCCGGAUUCGGGCUCUGGGCUUGCUCAUCAAUAUGUCAGUGUGGCAAGUGCUUAAUGUAGCAUUCUUGUCAAGGACUUCCCAAUGUUUCAAUAGAGUCCAGGGAUCUGCAGGCUUGUAUUGGGAAUGCCAUCCGCUUCCAGCGUGCGGUUGACCGGGCUGCCAUCACAAUAAUCUAGGGUUCGCGUAUGCUCUAGCAUUCAUUCUUGUUCUUGGUCUUGCUUGUUCUCCCUGGAUCUCACUGCUUCCUUCCUACCCCCGGUAGCAAAAGUCACGAGAUUAGUUAUUUAAAACGGGCCUUCUGCCUUGGAUUGCUUUGGCCCAUUUGACUGGAUUCCCAUAUGGCACCUUGCCCAUAAAAGCGAACUACUAACUUCGGUGAAGGAAGAAGCAAGUUCCCAAGAGAAGUGAAGUCAUCAACCUGGUAUUAGUUUGCCAAUCUAAAAGUCAAGUGAUACAGGUCGGGAUGGGAAGAAAGAAGCGAUUUCCUCGAAUUUGCUUUCGAAAAGGUGUAGCUGCAUGGAACAAAAUCCACAUUGCCAGUUCUCAAUUAUGAGUAACUUGCAGGAUGAAAGAUUCUUAUUAUUGUUAGCACCUCUGCUCUACCUUUCACACUAGCUUCCCGUCGCUCGAAGUACACUUCUCAACCACUAACUAUCUCGCUCGAUUUCUCCCGUAACUCUUCCACCUACUCCUUUGAUGAAAGGUGAAGAUUGUUGGGUUGAUCCUUCGAUUUGGGCAUCGUAGGGCGCUUCUUCAGUCAGUGGGCAACGAAUUCCGGAUAUCUAGUAUGAACAGAGUGAACUGUUAUGAUAUAAAUAAUCCGUUGGAAAGCAUGAGGUCUCACUUAUGUUCAGUGCUUUUCUAUUUCUAGCGCAAUUGAAGAAUAAUUGGCGACGCUCUGCGAUAAUAUGUUUUAGGGAUAGCCUAAUGCUAUUUAGGAUUCGGAUUCUCGACUAUUGGUAUGAUCGGAACUAGUAUUUAGAUAUAUACGACCCUCUACUGGUUUGACCUUCGAAAGGCGGAGAAAGUGGGGUUCAGGGCUUUAGGGCAUACAAUGGGUUAUGGGGUCCAUGGUACACGGAUGCGCUAACCAGCGAGAAAAGGCCUAGCACUUAACUCGUCCGGUGCGGGUCUAUUUCUCCCUUCGGGUCCUCUACACCUGUAAAAAGGAAAGGAGUCGUCAGGGCUUGGUUUUCUUUAAUACCGCUAGGCCUUUCUCAAUCUGUCUUCUUUGGAAAAAAGUGCAUUUUACUAAGAUCCGAUGGCUUUGAAUCCGCUAGACCCCAACCAAAGCAUAGAGAUGGAUUCCUAGCAUGAGGUGGAUUAGAGGGCGUCCUAGCCGUAAAUGAUAGAUACUGUGGGUACUCACUGCUGCGCGAGGAAACGAAACCCUAGUCAUGAUGAAAGACACAAGUUAUAUAUAACAAUAAUAUCUAUGAAGAGAAAGUAUGCAAUCCUUAUGUCGAGCUUCCUUCGGUAAUGUUGCAAAGGAAAGGAGAUAAGUUGUUUCUCUUUAUAAAGCUAAGUAAGGCUAAAGCUCUGUUUCCAUUCCUGUUUAUAAAAAAGAAUGCUAGCACGACUUUCAAAUAACCAGAAAGGAGUGUAGGAUUGAUUCCUCACAUGAUACGCAUUUCCAUCUAAUCUAGUUGGGAUUUAGGUUCCUGCUAGGUGAGAUAUUUAUUUUUAGACAGCUGGAGGUACGAAUUACCCGAUUGUGAAUGCUUCUUACUCGCAGGAAUAAUCCCAUUGUGUCCACGUAUCCACACGAUUGGUUUCUGAACCAGAAGUUCAUUCAUUUUUGAUCGAGAAACAUGGCGCAGGUGUCAGAUUGGAGUGAUUAUUGAUACGUGGUAUGAGCGUACAAAAUGAUUGGGGUUUGGGGUAGUAACACCAAAAGAAGCGUUAGUUGUUGUCUCGGAUUGAGAAGCAGUGGCAUCUUUAGCGGUCAAUGCCCACGAAGGAAGGUCUUUUCUCACUCAUUAUUUAGAUUAGUUAGCCGUGUGCACCUCUUCUUUUUUCCUUUCAGAAUAGAAGAUGGGGUUGUACCUGUCAUCUCUUGAUACCAGUAUUCUAGCUUAUGGUUCCUUUGUCGGUUUCCCCUGACCAUACAUAUCUACUUCGGCGUGUAAAGAAGCUGCUCCGCUGAUUACCCACCAACAGAUGCUUUUGGCGCUCCUACCUUUUCCCUAGGAUGAGUCUCCAAAGCGGGUCACUAAUAGCUUCAGUGUGCAGGAAACUAUGGCCACACCCUUUCCUACUCUAAAGCCGCUGCCCUUACUAAAUAGUGAAGCCGUGCAUACGUUUCCUCACUCAAUCCGUCUGGUAGCAGAAGCCCUUUACCUAGGGUAGGGCUUCACGAGGUUUAAGUUUAAGAUUAUUGAUAGAAUCAACGAAUCUCACUUCUAAUGGGCUUUACUACACUACCAGAGGAGUACAAGCUUGAAACGGGCAGCAGCUACACACUACCUAUACAAUAUAUCAAGACGAAAGCAGGGCGCUUAGGACACUGGAUUGGAAACUUAGACUGCCUUCCCUCUUUACUCGCUUGUUCCACUUGGUAUUCACAAUCAAAGGUCUCCCCAACCAUUAUAACAAGAACCAACCGUUGGAUAGGGCCACCACUCGAUGGGUUGGAUCCUGCUCACCACGCGGAAAACAACCAUACAAUUUAGUAAUUCCGGGGCUUACUAUUCAAGGGCAAAUCAAGUAGAAUUGUGUAUAUAGAUGAAAAAGGAGAAUGGCGAAGAAAGUCAAUUUGUCCAAAGCAUGGUGCCGACCUCCUUCUUUUAUACUACACGAACGAGAAUUCUCAUUUCUUGUGAAUGGGCCCAAUUUCCCUUUUGUUACUGGUCGGGACGACCUAAAUCCUAUAUCGGUUUCUCAAGUGCCAAAUAGAAUAGUUCUUUUCCAAGUUUGGGUAGGAUUCCUGACACCAAUCACAUCUGUAAGUAGCAAAGAUUUAAACAAAUAAUGAGAGGCCUUUAUCUAAUUAAGUUGAAUAAUACACAGAUUGUAAUAAAGGAGCGUGCUAACUGUCACAGAUAGCGUGGAGAUAAACAGCACGUACCGACCAAGUGUCGCGGUAGGUUGGCUGGUGCAGGCAGGUUUGAUAACUCAGUAAGAGAGUAUGACCACUUUGGGAAAUCCCCUAGCUUUCGUCCCUCACUGUCUACAGCGUAGCCGUCAUGGAACCCAGUGUCUUCGUCAAGCAUUCCACUCUAGUUUUCGCUACCAGUGUUUCAACAACACACAAUACCGCCGGCCCCCAUGCCACACAUGUCAAAUUAUAGAAUAGAUCUCGAGUAGAGACAAGAAGACAGCACGCUAAAGCGAUCGAAAUGGUUGUACAUGACUAGUUGUCUCCUGCGGCUCGCGAUAACAUGAAUAUCUCUCAUUCUCUUCCAUUCUUAGGCCUUCUUAAAAUAAGACAAAUAUAAAGCAAUCGAGCCAAAGAGAAAAUCAUGAAGCAUCUAAGGUUUCCUUAUCUUUUUACAAUCUAGCUCCUCCGGAUACGAUCAUGCUUAAUGUUACUAGCACAUGUUAAUGUCUUAAUCUCAUAAUAGACGAAAGAACGAUAGGGAGUUGGUAUCAAAUCCAUACCGAUGAUGAAUGCAUUCCAUUCCAUCGGUUAAGUUGGUAUCCUCAGGAAAAAACAAAGCAGCGGAGUACCCAUUUUUACAUGAGAAAGAAAAUGAGCUGAUUUGAAGCUCUGCUCUUGUUAUGUUGAACAAACGCCCUGCGGGGCACGCCCUCCGGGGGUUUACGCAAGGAAUUCCGUAGAAGAGAGUCUUGGUAAGAAAUAAAUAAAAAUGUACAGUCUACCGCAAGUAAAAAACCCAUAGCUUCUAUCGCUGACGGGGCCUUUCAGGCUAUCUAAAAUACCACCAUCAUAAAGGAGGAUUCGAAGAAGACGGCAUGACCGGGAGAGAGACGCAAGGAUGGGACUGGAACGAUUGAUAAGCACUCAUUUAUCAUGGAUGAAUAAAAAUAUGCGUAUAGUAAAGACAUACGCCCCAUAUCUGUGGAUGAUAGGCUCUAAUUGCAAGUGACCAGUACGGGAACCGAGUUCAUGUCUUUCCGGGAGUAGAGCUUGCGUUAAACUUGCUUCAAUGGCGAUGAAAAUAGCUCAGUUGGUAGACGAUGUCAUGUGAGAGCUUGUUUUCUCGUUGAAGCAUUCUUAGACUGAUAGCUAGGGAAGUCCCAUUUUGCAAGGGCUCGCGGAGUAGCCACAGAUAGAAAUUAUCAAGUACCAACCAAAUAGUUCUUCCAAGGCUAAAGGCAGGCUGACCCACUAAUUAUGUCGUAGGUAGGGAUCUCGUUUGAACAAAAUUGUAUAACAAUGAAGCGAGAAAACGUAUGCGCCCGCAAACGGCUUUCGAGGCGAUCCUGACCAGCAAACGAACUCAAAUUCAAGCGACCCUCAAAGCGAGGGGAAGACCCCCAUUCUUUUUGUCGAAAUCUUACUGUACUUAAAAAGAACAAUGUUGUUACUUCUUCAAAUCUCUAUUGUGUAGGUGUUUAGUCCCAGGUAGGAAUAAGUAAAGGCUAUUUCUUGUUAGUCUGUCUCUUUCUCUUUAAUAGCAGGUUCUUGGGUAAAAAAAACCUAGUCACUUUAGAAAGUCCCCCUUUUUUUAGGGAGCAGAGCUGAAAAAGAUGGGAAAUUCCAAUGAAUGAUAGAGAUUUGAUUCUCUAUGGAGAUGUCACGUCCAGUGAUAUACGCUUUUUUCAAGAAAGUCAAACUCAUAUGUCUUUUUUUAGUGGCUCAUCAACUAGGUCAGAUGCGGAAAGCGCUCCGCCGGAGGCUUCCGACUUGUUUAUGAGGAUUUGUGCAGAAUGCACAAGAUUAGUGGAGCAAGAAGGGAAAUAGAUACCCUCACAAUGGGACAUGCCUGACCUUCUUCGGACUGUGAACGAAGACUUAAUAGUAAUGCCAGACUUUCUAAGAGAUACUUAUUAUGAUGUCAUGUUACGUGGACCUCAUAGUUGGUUAUUCCUUGAUGUUAGCAACUGGAUUGAUUUAGUCAACUACGCCCCCCAAGUAUGAAGGGGCGGGUGUUGUGAGAUUUUACCCAAGAAAUGGGUACAUAAAAUGAAAAGAUCGGAACAUGGGAAUAGAUCUUAUACCAAUACUGACUACCCAUUUCCAUUGUUGUGCUUUCUAAAAUGGCAUACCAAUACAUACGCUAUGAUGAUCCAGAGAAACGUGUGGUUUCUGAACCCAUUGGGAUGACCCAAGAAUUUCGCUAUUUCGAUUUUGCUAGUCCUUGGGAACAGCGUAGCGACGGAUAAUUCCGAAUCUACAUAGGUCUAGUCCAGGGGACAAAUCAAUAGGAAAUGCUAUUUGCUUCUUAAGAGAAGAAUCACUUUUUUGAAGUUCCAUUUCUAUUAGAGGUCAAUAUGAAUAUUAUACCAUGUUCCAUUAAAACACUCAAGUGGUUAUACGAUAUAUCGGGUGUAGAAGUAGGCCAACACUUCUAUUGGAAAAUAGGAGGUUUCCAAAUUCAUGCCCAAGUACUCAUCACUUCUUGGGUCGUAAUUACUAUCUUGCUAGGUUCAGUUAUCAUAGCUGUUCGGAAUCCACAAACCAUCCCGACCGACGGUCAGAAUUUCUUAGAAUAUGUCUUUCCCUUGACUUGGCUCAACGGCUUUAGUUCAGUAAAUGCUUUCGUAUGAAGCUUGAGUCAAGUCUAGUCUCAUGUAGUGAAGAUCGUCAAGCAAUCAUUGCUCGUCUCUCCGAAACCUAUUAAUAAGGAACACGUUCAAGUGUAUGGAAUAAUCAAACCUUUCACGUAUUUGUUAACAUAGUGUUGGACGAUUGAUUCCUCUCUUUCUCCAUGGCCUGCUUCCCAUAACUGGCCUUACUAAAACUUACGAAAUGCUAAUUUGACCUAAAUUUCCGAUUAACUGCUGACUUUCUUUGCUAGCUCACCCGAAACUCUGUCUUCAGGAGGAAAGCUUGCUUGAGUACCUUACUUGAAAACAAACCGCUUGAGCUGUAACUGAAACAGAAAGGUUUGAUGAGCCGUUGCUUGCUCUCUAACUGCUCUUACCGCUUCUUCUUCUUGACCUCUACUCACUGCUGCCAAUGCUGUGACUGCCGCCCCUAUCUCUAAAGCUGCGGAUUACAGCUCCUGAUUCAAGCAGUUUUUUUUCCUAAAGUAUGAGUCUUGUUUGUGACAUUCAAUUCCAGAAUGAACAUUCAAAGGAAAAGUAGUAUGGGACGCUGCUUGCUAUUACUGACUGCGGCUGCCGACCGAAGAACUGAAGAUCUUCAAUCUAUGUUUGAGUGCUCUUGGGAAAGAAAAUAAUUUCGAAUGAAAAAAUGACUUCAAAAAUAGGAUAGGAUCGCGGAUUCCACAUAUUUUUAUAGAAAGAAAGAUACUGUACUCCGCAUCUUUACACCGAAUCCUUAAAAGCCAUUUAAUGCCUUCUUGCCUGCCUUCAGUUCAUGCCUUCAGGCCGGCCUGCUCUUGCCUAUGAAUGAGAUGCCUACUUCCCAUUAAGUCAAAAUACCUCAUAGACAUACAUAUUUUUAAGGAUACUUAGUUAGUUAAAGAGAAAGAUGGCUUUUGACAAUUUUUUUAGUCCCCUCGUUCCCGAGCAAGAAAACGGAUGCGCUAACGCGCAACGGCUUUCACGCUAGUUGCUCAAUCCGUUGCUUGUUCGGAAGAAUCCGCAAAUGAAUAUUCUUUAUUUCCUCUCGGAUAGGCCCUCUUUUUUCAUUCGAAUGUACAUCUUUUUUGGUAAUGAUCAUCUACAACUGAAAGACUGACGUCUUCCUCUACUCGAUCCUUAGUUAUACAAUCUCCCUCCACCUCAAUUUUUAUGAUCCUCAUAGCCUUUUUUAUUCGCGCCCUCCCCCUGGAUCUAUUCCUGCCGCGUCCACGUCCUCUGCCUCCAGCAACUAGAGCUGCAUCAUCUUGUUCAUUAUUGAGAAUAGGCCUCUUCUCACACCGUACCAGUUCUUUUUGCAGUUGAAUCUUCCCGUUCUGGCUUAUUGAGUGUAUAGAUUCUUUUUGAAAUGCAAUCUAUUCCCACAUCACUCUUCUCAUAACAUAUCUUGUUCUCCUCACUUUGAUUCUGGAUUCACCGGUUGAUUUAAGACGGGGUUCUAUGCUUUCUAGCCCCAUUUGACAAAAGUGAGCUUCCCCUCUCUCUUUUGUAGGAAUCAGAUAGCAAUGCUCAUUCGUGAAUAGCAUUUCAUGCUUCCGCUACUUCGUCGGAGAGAUCCAUGGAAACUCAACAAAGAAAAGCGGACGGGAAAGAUUAGACAGAAAACUGCAACCAGAAAGCUUAUCCGACGCUCCGUUGUACCAUAUCCCACGCUCUAGUGGUCCUUCUUUUCUGUGUGGGACUGCAAACGGAUUUGAUGAUUUGAACGUGGUCGUGGGGUUGAACAUAUGAGUUUGACUUUCUUGAAAAAAGCGUAUAUCACUGGACGUGAGAUCUUCAUAGAGAAUCAAAUCUCUAUCAUUCAUUGGAAUUUCCCAUCUUUUUUAGCUUUGCUCCCUAAAAAAGGGGGACUUUCUAAAGGGACUGAGUUUUUUACCCAAGAACCUGCUAUUAAAGAGAAAGAGACAGACUAACAAGAAACAGCCUUUACUUAUUCCUACCUGGGACUGAACACCUACACAAUAGAGAUUUGAAGAAGUAACAACAUUGUUCUUUUUAAGUACAGUAAGAUUUCGACAAAAAGAAUGGGGUCUUCCCCUCGCUUUGAGGGUCGCUUGAAUUUGAGUUCGUUUGCUGGUCAGGAUCGCCUCGAAAGCCGUUUGCGGGCGCAUACGUUUUCUCGCUUCAUUGUUAUACGAUUUUAUUCAAACGAGAUCCCUACCUACGACAUAAUUAGCGGGUCAGCCUGCCUUUAGCCUUGGAAGAACUAUUUGGUUGGUACUUGAUAAUUUCUAUCUGUGGCUACUCCGCGAGCCCUUGCAAAAUGGGACUUCCCUAGCUAUCAGUCUAAGAAUGCUUCAACGAGAAAACAAGCUGUCACAUGACAUCGUCUACCAACUGAGUUAUUUUCAUCGCCAUUGAAGCAAGUUUAACGCAAGCUCUACUCCCGGAAAGACAUGAAGUCAGUUCCCGUACUGGUCACAUGCAAUUAGAGCCUAUCAUCCACAGAUAUGGGGUGUAUGUCUUUACUAUACGCAUAUUUUUAUUCAUCCGUGAUAAAUGAGUGCUUCUCAAUCGUUCCAGUCCCAUCCUUGCGUCUCUCUCCUGGUCAUGCCGUCUUCUUCGAAUCCUCCUUUACGAUGGUGGUAUUUUAGAUAGCCUGAAAGGCCCCGUCAGCGAUAGAAGCUAUGGGUUUUUUACUUGCGGUAGACUGUACCUUUUUUAUAUAUUUCUUACCAAGACUCUCUUCUACGGAAUUCCUGGCGUAAACCCCCGGAGGGCGUGCCCCGCAGGGCGUUUGUUCAACAUAACAAGAGCAGAGCUUCAAAUCAGCUCAUUUUCUUUCUCAUGUAAAAAUGGGUACUCCGCUGCUUUGUUUUUUCUUGAGGAUACCAACUUAACCGAUGGAAUGGAAUGCAUUCAUCAUCGGUAUGGAUUUGAUACCAACUCCCUAUCGUUCUUUCGUCUAUUAUGAGAUUAAGACAUUAACAUGCGCCAGUAACAUUAAGCAUGAUCGUAUCCGGAGGAUCUAGAUUGUAAAAAGAUAAGGAAACCUUAGAUGCUUCAUGAUUUUCUCUUUGGCUCGAUUGCUUUAUAUUUGUCUUAUUUUAGGAAGGCCUAAGAAUGGAAGAGAAUGAGAGAUAUUCAUGUUAUCGCGAGCCGCAGGAGACGACUAGUCAUGUACAACCAUUUCGAUCGCUUUAGCGUGUUGUCUUCUUGUCUCUACUCGAGAUCUAUUCUAUAAUUUGACAUGUGUGGCAUGGGGGCCGGCGGUAUUGUGUGUUGUUGAAACACUAGUAGCGAAAACUAGAGUGGAAUGCUUGACGAAGACACUGGGGUUCCAUGACGGCUACGCUGUAGACAGUGAGGGACGAAAGCUAGGGGAUUUCCCAAAGUGGUCAUACUCUCUUACUGAGUUAUCAAACCUGCCUGCACUAGCCAACCUACCGCGACACUUAGUCGGUAUGUGCUGUUUAUCUCCACGCUAUCUGUGAUAGUUAGCACGCUCCUUUAUUACAAUCUGUGUAUUAUUCAACUUAAUUAGAUAAAGUCCUCUCAUUAUUUGUUUAAAUCUUUGCUACUUACAGAUGUGAUUGGUGUCGGGAAUCCUACCCAAACUUGGAAAAGAACUAUUCUAUUUGGCACUUGAGAAACCGAUAUAGGAUUUAGGUUGUCCCGACCAGUAACAAAAGGGAAAUUGGGCACAUUCACAUGAAAUGAGAAUUCUCGUUCGUAUAGUAUAAAAGAAGGAGGUCGGCACCGUGCUUUGGACAAAUUGACUUUCUUCGCCAUUCUCCUUUUUUAUCUAUAUACACAAUUCUACUUGAUUUGCCCUUGAAUAGUAAGCCCCAGAAUUACUAAAUUGUAUGGUUGUUUUCCGCGUAGUGAGUAGGAUCCAACCCAUCGAGUGGUGGCCCUAUCCAACGGUUGGUUCUUGUUAUAAUGGUUGGGGAGACCUUUGAUUGUGAAUACCAAGUGGAACAAGCGAGUAAAGAGGGAAGGCAGUCUAAGUUUCCAAUCCAGUGUCCUAAGCGCCCUGCUUUCGUCUUGAUUAUUGCAUAGGUAGUGUGCAGCUGCUGCCCGUUUCAAACCUGUACUCCUCUGGUAGUGUAGUAAAGCCCAUUAGAAGUGAGAUUCGUUGAUUCUAUCAAUAAUCUUAAACUUAAACCUCGUGAAGCCCUACCCUAGGUAAAGGGCUUCUGCUACCAGACGGAUUGAGUGAGGAAACGUAUGCACGGCUUCACUAUUUAGUAAGGGCAGCGGCUUUAGAGUAGGAAAGGGUGUGGCCAUAGUUUCCUGCACACCGAAGCUAUUAGUGACCCGCUUUGGAGACUCAUCCCAGGGAAAAGGUAGGAGUGUCAAAAGCAUCUGUUGGUGGGUAAUCAGCGGAGCAGCUUCUUUACACGCCGAAGUAGAUAUGUAUGGUCAGGGGAAACCGACAAAGGAACCAUAAUCUAGAAUACUGGUAUCAAGAGAUGACAGGUACAACCCCAUCUUCUAUUCUGAAAGGAAAAAAGAAGAGGUGCACAUGGCUAACUAAUCUAAAUAAUGAGUGAGAAAAGACCUUCCUUCGUGGGCAUUGACCUCUAAAGAUGCCACUGCUUCUCAAUCCAAGACAACAACUAACGCUUCUUUUGGUGUUACUACCCCAAACCCCAAUCAUUCUGUUCGCUCAUACCACGUAUCAAUAAUCACUCCAAUCUGACACCUGCGCCAUGUUUCUUGAUCAAAAAUGAAUGAACUUCUGGUUCAGAAACCAAUCGUGUGGAUACGUGGACACAAUGGGAUUAUUCCUGCGAGUAAGAAGCGUUCACAAUCGGGUAAUUCGUACCUCCAGCUAUCUAAAAAUAAAUAUCUCACCUAGCAGGAACCUAAAUCCCAACUAGAUUAGAUGGAAAUGCGUAUCAUGUGAGGAAUCAAUCCUACACUCCUUUCUGGUUAUUUGAAAGUCGUGCUAGCAUUCUUUUUUAUAAACAGGAAUGGAAACAGAGCUUUCGCCUUACUUAGCUUUAUAAAGAGAAACAACUUAUCUCCUUUCCUUUGCAACAUUACCGAAGGAAGCUCGACGUAAGGAUUGCAUACUUUCUCUUUAUAGAUAUUAUUGUUAUAUAUAACUUGUGUCUUUCAUCAUGACUAGGGUUUCGUUUCCUCGCACAGCAGUGAGUACCCAUAGUAUCUAUCAUUUACGGCUAGGACGCCCUCUAAUCCACCUCAUGCUAGGAAUCCAUCUCUAUGCUUUGGUUGGGGUCUAGCGGAUUCAAGGCCAUCGGAUCUUAGUCAAAUGCACUUUUUUCCAAAGAAGACAGAUUGAGAAAGGCCUAGCGGUAUUAAAGCAAACCAAGCCCUGACGACUCCUUCCCUUUUUACAGGUGUACAGGACCCGAAGGGAGAAAUAGACCCGCACCGGACGAGUUAAGCGCUAGGCGUUUUCUUGCAGGUUAGCGCAUCCGUGUAAAAUGGACCCCAUAACCCAUUGUAUGCCCUAAAGCCCUGAACCCCACUUUCUCCGCCUUUCGAAGGUCAAACCAGUAAAGGGUCGCAUAUAUCUAAAUACUAGUUACGAUCAUACCAGUAGUCGAGAAUCCGAAUCCUAAAUAGCAUUACGCUAUCCCUAAAACAUAUUAUCGCAGAGCGUCGCCAAUUAUUCUUCAAUUGCGCUAGAAAUAGAAAAGCACUGAACAUAAGUGAGACCUCAUGCUUUCCAACGGAUUAUUUAUAUCAUAACAGUUCACUCUGUUCAUACUAGAUAUCCGGAAUUCGUUGCCCACUGACUGAAGAAGCGCCCUACGAUGCCCAAAUCGAAGGAUCAACCCAACAAUCUUCACCUUUCAUCAAAGGAGUAGGUGGAAGAGUUACGGGAGAAAUCGAGCGAGAUAGUUAGUGGUUGAGAAGUGUACUUCGAGCGACGGGAAGCUAGUGUGAAAGGUAGAGCAGAGGUGCUAACAAUAAUAAGAAUCUUUAUCCUGCAAGUUACUCAUAAUUGAGAACUGGUAAUGUGGAUUUUGUUCCAUGCAGCUACACCUUUUCGAAAGCAAAUUCGAGGAAAUCGCUUCUUUCUUCCCAUCCCGACCUGUAUCACUUGACUUUUAGAUUGGCAAACUAAUACCAGGUUGAUGACUUCACUUCUCUUGGGAACUUGCUUCUUCCUUCACCGAAGUUAGUAGUUCGCUUUUAUGGGCAAGGUGCCAUACUGGGAAUCCAGUCAAAUGGGCCAAAGCAAUCCAAGGCAGAAGGCCCGUUUUAAAUAACUAAUCUCGUGACUUUUGCUACCGGGGGUAGGAAGGAAGCAGUAAGAUCCAGGGAGAACAAGCAAGACCAAGAACAAGAAUGAAUGCUAGAGCAUAUGCAAACCCUAGAUUAUUGUGAUGGCAGGCCGGUCAACCGCACGCUGGAAGCGGAUGGCAUUCCCAAUACAAGCCUGCAGAUCCCUGGACUCUAUUUAAACAUUGGGAAGUCCUUGACAAGAAUGCUACAUUAAGCACUUGCCACACUGACAUAUUGAUGAGCAAGCCCAGAGCCCGAAUCCGGAUGCAUGCUUAAGUGCUCGGAGGGCAGAGCCUGGCCCCGAUCGAGCCAAUAUGUCAAUCGAUAACGUUUAAGCUCCUUGUCCCCAAGAUCUUCCAUAUAUUAAGACUAGUUCGAUCUUCCUUAGAUAAACAUAUUCCAAUAAAAAGGUUCAAUAACAUAUAUAGGUAUCUACGGGCAUUGUGAAUCAACUAAUCUAUCUAGAAGUGAGUCAAUAUGUGUUCAUGAGUGAUUAUGCUGUAGGUGCUUCCCAUCUGUCGAGGCUGGUAUGUAUAAAUGGAGUAUUGACCUUAACUUUGAGUGUGGGUUCCGGUUUUGAGUGAAUGGACUGAUUGCAUUGUUGUUAAGAGUGGGCUGGCCUGCUUGAAACACCAAUGUGCUAUAGAUACAAGUACCCUUCCCUUGGGGAUCGAUUAACGGAUUACUCAGUAUCAGAUGGGUGAAAGCCUUAUCCAUCACCUUUAAGCUCCUUGUCUUUAAAUAAAAGCCAUCAAUAACCUAGAUCGGUCUCAAUAGCACUGCAGGGCAUUUAUCUCCCCUACUAUAUGGGUCUACCCACCUGGGCAUUGUCCACUUGACCAACCAUCAUGGCUAUAUAAUCUAUUUUAACAAAGAAGUAAAUAACUCGAGUCUCCCUCCGGGAGGUUGUUACGUGACCUAUUCCAGACAAGGAGUCCGAGCCAGGAAGAAAACCGGGGAAUCCAGAUUCCAUAAAUGGUCAGGAUAGCUCAGUUGGUAUAGCCUUGAAGAUCUUAGUUCUUUCGCAAACUAUCAAUAUUGGAAAGUCGAGGUACUUGAAUUCAGGAAUUUCAUUGACCGGGGUGCGAAAGGAAUGCACCCGAAUAAAUCAGUGAAUGAAGCUCAGGCCACGAAUUCUGGAAUCUAAGAGCGGGUGGUGAAGUUGGGCACUCUCGAAACCUCUGUUAUGACUUAUUUUGUUCACCUUUUGGUUGGUUUUAGACUGGUCUCCCGGAGAAGUAGGCGACGGUAGAAAGCAUUUUUAUUACUCCUGUUGAAGGAGACAGUGGUCCGAUUGGCUAUUGAAGUCGGUGGAUUCUGCCCAGAGUAAUCUCUAAAAUAGUGAAGCCAGUAGCAAUGACUUCAUUUUCAAGCUACUGAAAUGCACUUAAAUGUUGAAUUUGGAUUAGCAAAUUACACGAGCGAUGCGGCGGCCAUUAAUAUUUAUCCCUUUAAGUUCUUGUUUAUAUUCGUUGAACCAAGUUGGAUCUGUGAUACCAGGGUGGUGGCUUUAACAAAUAAGCUCCAAUUGAUCCAUUAUUUGAGCUGGCCGCCAGUGGUAGCCCUUAGGAAGUUCUUAACUGUGCUAAUUCACCUCUUAUUUCUCUUACAAACCCGCCUCCGUAGGGGCUUCAAGCGAGCGCGUUUCGACGUCAACGAAGGUACGCCCAAUUAGGGAUUGAAUUCUCUUAUAAUUCAAUCAAAAGAGCAUAAAGUCUUAGCUAAAUGUCUGACAUAGCGUCUGAUCCCGGUAAAUUGGGUUAGUUAACCGCACCCUUUGGUGAAGAAGGGGGUAUUCGUAGGCACUGGUUAUUUUCUUAUGUGUGGACUUCGACCUUACAAAGUAUGAGUCCGUGCCUUCCUAAGUUGGUCCUGAAUUUCUAAUGAAGUUUUGACUUUCUCGAGGGACAUAGCAAACUAUUUGGUUGGCUCCGAGCAUUCUAAAAAUAGAGUCCUGCCUGGACAAUGUUGAUAACGGGAAAUAUCUAACCUCUGUGGUGGGUGUGAAGACGGGUACAGCUAGAAAGCGAGAGAAUAUCUUUAUGGAUAUGAGUCCGAGGCAGAAGUCUCUGAAUGCGGGCCUGACAAACCUUUUGUACCAGGAUCAUCACGAGACUCUGUUUCUAUGGUAGAUGACUCAAUAGGCAGGGCCUAGAACCUCUAAAGAGGGUGUGACCGAUCACCAGAUCACGAUCAAGAAGAGUCAAAGCUAUCUUACUAGCGUGAGCAAUCAUCCAACUAUGAUGGUUUCUCAACCGGUGGGUACAUUUCUGUUGCACAUUGUGAGUUCAUAUUUUCUUUUCUAAGAAACAAAAGUUUGAGCAGAUGUCGUUCUAGCAGGUACAAGAACUCCCGUUUGGUAGGCGUCUGCUUUAGCAAUGUCUUUGAUCCUCGAUCAACAAUUUGAGGAAGACGAGACAGAAGCCUUUGGAUGAAACCAAUGAAUCUUCCGAUCCGAAAGACUAAGGGGCUAGGCGCUCACCUACUAUCUACACAUUUCCUCUUUGGCGUUGGCUCCACCAGUUUUGACUGCGAGUCGCUUUAGUUAUCUCAAAUCUUUGGCAGGAAGGGGCCAAGCCAAAUAGUGCUCUUUAGAAGCGUAAUCCGUGCUUGAAACUCCUUCGCUAGGAUCCAAAAACCUAUGCUUCCGCUCUUCCUCACCAGGCAAUGCUUACUCUUCUCGAUCAAGAUUUUGGAGACUUUGAAGCUCAAGGACAUGACAGCGCUUGAAACAAAUGCUUUGUUUUGGCACCUUCGUCUUCCUUUCUAACAUUAUUAAAUUCGAGCUAAUGGGACCAGUUUUGAAUUGCCUAGAGGGUGGAGAAGUCACAUCAUCUGAGGUUUGUUGUGGGUUCAAUUAUGACCCUGGUCUAGAAGACGGAGUGGUUGCACGUGUAAGUACAUCAUGUUACAUAUCUAUUUUAAGCUAAGCUAAAUGCCUAAACUAAACAAUUUUCUAUUAAGCGUGGCAUCCUCUCUUCGGGGCGAGCCCUAUCAAUGAUUUCAUUCUGUACAAUGUGAAACCUGAAAUACCAACGGUAGUUUCCAAGUGCCAUCUCUAUUCGACUCCCAUGCUUAUUCUUGAACGCUUGAAGGGGAAGUCCGGGCUGGGUCAGUUAAAGGCGGAGCCGGGCGGGAUAUGGUAUUAGCUCUCUAUGUGCUAUUAGCUUAAGCUUAUCACUCCAGCUUAUUACCCUAGGCAGAGGGGGGUAGGGGAGCAUCACUAGAGAGUCUCCGUACCCGGUACAAGAUCCUGGCUUAUAUAAAUUCAUUCAAGGUUAUGGCUGAACUGGUCUCACCGCUUCCUUCCUCAAUGCUAGCGGGACCCUUGCUUUCCAUUGCCUUUCGAAGGGGACCGACCAUAUGCAUACUUCUUUUUGUACAACUUUGCUCUGUUGGAGCCUUUGCAAUAAGAAAGUGGAUUAGGAGAGAGAGCUCACAGACGAUGUUCCCUUCCUUCUAUAUAUCCAUAUAUCUAUCGCCCCCGGGCACUCCAGAGCCAGUGUGACAUUCUAUCAGAAAUGCAUGCAUCUCACAUUAGGUAGCCAUCCAUGACCCCGUGUGUGUUUCCCAAUUGCUCAUCCAAACCAUCAUUUCUUUCUUCCAUCCCGGAACAGAGAUCUGACCCAAGGAAGGAAUUGCCUUCUUUCUCAUGCCAACCAGAUGGAUGCGGCCUAGAGCUGAGUGAAUUCCCUCUGGGUGAGCGCUAUGGAGAUAGGCCAGGAUCAAUGAAAAUAACCGAGAUCGAUCGGUAUCCAUCGCUCAGAGAGCUGCUUUCUCCCCGAUAUCUGUAUCUGCUUUCGGACGGCCAAACAAGCAAGAAGAAGGAAACUUCCAUUUCGCAUAGCUGCUAAAGUAGUAGUUUUUGUCAAAUCAUACUUCUGACCAAUAGUAUCAGUGGCUUUAUGCGUCCGCAACCUAGUUUUGUAUUUGCAUAGUGAAGGAAAGAAAGAAGCAUGUUAAGGUGACUUGAGGGAAAGACUGAUCCUGAUAGACAAGAAUGGUAUGGUUGGAUUGCCAGUGAAUAAGCAGCAAGGCUAAAGCAGGGAUUGGAUUUACUUCUUCUAUUGUCAGUAGCAUCAUUUGCCUUCCACCCUCUCAAGAACUUCCUGAAGCCCUGAGACACUUGUUGCCAAUAGUCUGGAAUGGAACAUUUGCAACAGUUCUUGUAGGCCAUUUCUGUAACAGCAUAUCUCUAAACCCUUCUUGCGGAUGGUUCAAAACAAAACUUAGUGGCAGCCCCUAUCUUCCCCAUUUUCUAUAAGUAAAGGACAAUGAUCUGACCCAGCUUGCAAGAAGGAUAGUAAAACUUAGGAAAUAAAUCCUCAUAAGUUGAAGAAACCAGAACUCUAUCCAAAACUUCUCUCACUGGCCUGUCUUGUUUGUUAGUCCAGGCCACCAACCCUUCUCAGUUCCUGUAGUUCAGUUUCAGAUAUGAAAGCAUUAAAAGCUUCCAUCCUAUUAAUAUGUAUUCUGCCAUUGUUUCAUGAGCAAAUCUGAUCAUGUCCCGCGAAGGUAGAUCAACACUCUGCACAAAGUUAGUGAGCUCUGACAAAAACAUAGCUCUUAAAUUUGGUUGGACCAUAAACAUCCACCCAAGCACAAUUAUCACAAAGCCUCUAUACUCAAACACCAUGGAGAAAUUGACCCUCCCCAAUGAGGUCUGCAUCCAUGACAUCCAGAUUGACUCCAAUAAGCAUUCCACCUUUACUGCCACUGGCUGGCUUGCAAAACCACUUGAAAAGCUUUCUUCCACCAAUUUCCAUUAACUCUUUAUCUGAGAACUGUUCUCUCUUAGUUUCUUGCACACAAACUAUGUCCACCCACUCUAUCACUUCAGAAGGUUGCCCCCUUCUACCUGGCCAGGCCCCUCACAUUCAAGAUUAGUGUCUUCAUGGCGAUAUCUGUUUUUUGUUAUGCCUCCUCUUAGCUCUGCUCGUAGUGUUCUUGUCACCAACUGGUAUACAAGUACUGUGAAUAUCUAACUCUUCAACAAUCUGAGUAAUAUCCUCAUUCUCUGAAUCAGAGCUUAACUCGACACUGGAAGACUGCUCCUUCUCAUGAGCAGCUAACUUCUUUUUCUGAGCAGCUUCAUAAAGCAAUGCUUGAGCAAGUUCUCUUGCUUUAAUAGAAUUUAUAGACUUGUCAAUUUCCUCCUGUGUACUGCCCAACACUAGACCACUAUCUACAGCAGAUUUUACUAGACUAGCAGAAUCAAUGGAAUUGCAAAUAGCAUAUCUGUUAGUAGAAGACAUACCUGGUUCAUCAAGAUUCUUGCGUGAAGCCAUCCUUUCUGCACGUUGCUGAAUAGGCAUGCCAUCCUUCGGGAUCCUAUCCUAGCACUUGUCCUUGUUGCUUUAAUUCUUGCGUUUGCACCUAAUUGAACUUCUCUUGUUCUUUGGUCAUUCCAGAAAAAACCUCCAUACCUUAAUAAUAGGGGCUUGUGUAUAAAGGAAAGCAGCAAACCGGUCAAAGGCGAAGCUGUUCUAUCUCAACUCUCUGACUUGAAGGAAGAUGUGGCGGAUCUCAAGGCUGGCUCUAUUCCAAGUACAAGUUCCGAGGUGAAAUGCGUUGAUGUGGCCAAUCGAUAUACAUUAUAGUUGAAUGGUUCGACAAGUUCACAUGCUGGAGCUACCUGUUCUCCGCGAUUCAAUUGGUUCUUCUGCCUUGCCUUCUUAUCUAUCGGUCCCAAGGUCAAAGAAAUAGGUUUAGUGGUUCGACCUCCCAAAGGUUAAAGAAAGACAUCGGUAUUAAGACCACUCCCUCCGGAUGAUGAUAUGUCCCAACCAUCUAUAGCCCAUGGUUCGUUACUCGGGAAUUCGGAGAGGUCAGAUGAGAUAGAUGGGUGUGUUCAAAAUGGAAUGAUCCCCUUUUCUCAUGUUUGCAUUUUUGUUGUCCACAAACAAAUAAAGAGUCCAAAAAGACGUACGCAUAACAGACUCGGUACCUAGGUCAAUGGGUUCAGUGGAGAAUUGCGUUACUGUAAUAGCGAAAGUAUCUAUGAAAUGCAGUACCAAGGUCAAUGAAAUCGAAAGGCACCUCUGACAACAGAAUCAAAAGGAAUUUGCCUGACGAGACCAUGAAGGUGCACUUCAACGGGUUUAACUUGAGUUCAUGUUGCCUUAGGCGGUCGAAUACGAUUCUGAGAUGUUGAAGAUGUUCUUCAUAGGAUACCGCCUUUACAACGAGAUCAUCUACAUAGCACUCGACAAUCUUAUGUAUUAUCUCAUCGAAGAUCUUAGUCAUGGCGCGUUGAUAUGUAGCACCGGCGUUUUUGAGACCUUUGGGCAUAACCUUGUAACAAUAUAUGCCUAUUGGAGUGCGAAAGGCUGUGCUUUAUCAAGGCAAGCUUCUCUUUCUUUCGCCAAUGAAGUUCAUAUAAGUGUAUAGAAAGCCUUCUUUUCACAACCAUGCACAAACCAAAGUGCUGCUGAAAUGUGAAAUCCAUGCACCAACAAGUUCCAGUUCAUAAGCAAUGAAAAAGCAGAGUAUAUGGGAGGAUAGUGGCUAAACUGUUCACUUGAGGAGAGUGGGAAGUGACUAAUCCGAUAGGAGAAGAGCGGAAGUGCGAUCUUUCGAUCCAAUCUACGUCGACUAAAAUCCAUGUCUCAUGGCACGAGGGCCAUUGCGAGUUGAUGUUGUUGCUUUACCGUCACAGUCUGUCCUCAAGAGAGGCAUCCAUUCCUAGCCAGACAAAGUUCCUAUUAGUUCUCUUAUAGGAAGGUAGUAUACCUGAAUGGCCUCCGGUAGCUGUCCCAUGCAGUUCUUGUGCUAUCCUGGCUCUUGCAUUUCCAGCGGUCCCCACAUAAAGCCUCCCUUUUUUUCCUUAAUACCCCUUCCUCCUCUUCCCAACCAUCUUGUCCUCCUCUCGCUUCACUAAUGCUCUUCUUAACUUCUUUAGCUAAUUUUUAUCCUUCAUAGCUUUGUUUCACUUCUCCUAUCCAAUCCGGCAACAACUUGCUCACAAGGGUGCAACCACUGAAUUUGUAACGACACAAUGAUUUGAAAAACAAUCACAAGAUAUGUAAAGAACACAGACAGUAAAGGUAGAAGAUCAUUUCCAGGUAGAUAGGAGAGAUAUUAAAAUCCACAAACAUGAAUGAGAGUUUCGACUGGGUUCUCCAGAUUUAACCAAAAGAAGACUUUUCUACAAAUAAGAGAAUUUCUCAUUUUUUGGUUUAUACCGAGCCAAAACAUAGAAUUUCCAUUGAAGAAGGAAGUAAGGAUGCUAGCCGGAGAAUCAAGAAAUAAAUACUUCCCAUUCCGAUUCUUUUUUAGUUCCCAAGAUAGAAUUUCUUUGUUUUUGGCAAGAGCGGUGGGUGACAACGUGCAAGACUAGAUAGGUUUGGCUUUGAUCUGAUCAAUAGGAAUAGGAGGAAGCGUUGGAGAGGUACCAAAUGACUGACGAGGGGAACCCAUCUGACCACAUGUAGAGCCAGCCCAUAAGUAAAUUCAAGAGAAUUUCUUCAUCUUCCAAAGUAUGUGAGUGAGGUAAAAAUUCCAUGGAUCGAUCUCAUCACUCACAUCCAACAACUAGUGAAAGAUGUAAUGAUGAAGCUAUAGGAGAAGAAAAAGCGUUGGUUUUGAUUGGUAAUCUUGAGUUGUCAUCUUUUGAAAGAGAGUAACUUGCUGGAUGGAGAGCAGCUAGGAGAAUAAAGUUCAUCUUUACCCCAUCUUUCAUUCCAACUCUAUUUUCUUAUGUGCGAUCCUUCUUUCUGGUUUGGAAUCCAAGAAGCUCAAUGGGCUAGUUUCAAGUUCGAUCAGACACGAAAUCUGGUAUAGCCACCAGCCUAGAUAGAACAGGCGGGGGAAGAAAAACUAGGAGCGAGCCACAUUCAAGAGGGUUGUCAAAGGCCCUCUCAAUAGAGCUAUUUUGUCAUUGAAUCGAUGGAGGGAAGACUCCUUCGGUAGGUGCCCCCGACUCUUCCAGUUUCUGGGUGGGAUCUUAUGGCUUAAUCUCUGAUUGCACAUGAUUCAUCUUUGUUUGGUAACCUCAGACCCUGAACCAGGAGUUGGAAGCGCCUUUGCUAGACUUUCCAAUUGAACACGAUGCGGGCGGUGCAACUCGGCAAGGAGAAGGCUGAACCCUGGUGCUACACUACAGCAGAAGCUUUGGCAGUUUACCAUGGCUUGAUGUUCUAGUUGUCAUGCUAAAGCCAUUGAUAGCUACUUCGCUUGACGAGCUAAGUAGAAAGACUUUGUGGAUGAAUCCACAACUGAUGGUGCUUUAGGUUGAUCUGAUCCCUAGAAUGAAGAGUUUUGGGCUUAAGGCAUAAUUGCUCUAUUGUGGCUACCCUGGCUAUGUCAUCCGAUGUUGUUCACAAAGUGGCUCUUACUAUAGACCCGGCUAUGUCCGAGUUGAAAUCGAACCCAGCCCCGGGUUUCCGUCCAUCAAUCCAGAGCUCAAGACAACCGCGAUACUUAAAUCGCUCAAAUAGCCACCUUGGACGGACACAGCCAUUAGAAGAAGAAACUGAAACUCGAUGGAGUACCCUAAACCAGAGAUCCUCGACAAAUAAAGUCUCGAUUCGAGGAACGAAAUAUCAAUAGAGGAACGGAAACUGCAAGGUAUGAAAUUUGGGUAGGGUUGGCAGGGAAAGUCCAACUGAAACUUUCUUUGAUUACCUUUUUUCUCCAACUGGCUCAGAGAUUGCAUUUGCCCUUAACCGGUAACCUCCUUUUAAUCCUUCGUUUAGACCCUAUCUAUUGGUAUUGGCAUUGGCUCGAGAGCAAGGACCUUAUUUGAUCGCUUAGAACUUGAUGGAGGGAAACUCACUCGCUCGAGAUAUGCUUAAGCUAGCUCAGGAAGAGUACUAAUUUUAUAUGCCUUAAAGAGGGGAUUCAAAGAGUAGCCUUUUACUAGGGCUUAAGUGACUCGUUUCAUAUUGCUUACUAUGGUCUGGACAGUGAGGAAGGUGAGUUGGAAGAUAUACCUAAUGUCAAAUGAGACUUUCUCCUCACCAAAUUGAAGCGUGAGCUUAGCAUCUUUCACAUCGAUGACAGCCCCUGCAGUAGCUAGAAAAGGUCUCCCCCCAAAAAAAAUAGGAAAGCUCUUAUCCUACAUCUCCAAGACAACAAAAUCAACUGGAAAUGCGAAGUUACCAACUAUCGCAGGGAUAUCACCCAAAAUGUCUGCCGGAUCCUGAUCAGCAAGGUGGAGAGUGAUGCUAGUCGGUCGUACAUCACCCAAUGGUAGUGGCUUGUAGACAGUGAAGGGAAUCACAGUAGACCCAAGACCACAUAAAGCAUGGAAAGUUUGACUUCCUAUCAAGCAUGGAAUACUGAAACUGGCAGGCUCAUCUAAGUUGAGAGGUAGCUUAUUUGAACGAGUGCACUACAUUCCUUAGUAAGAGUAACCACUUCUGGCUCGUUAAUGUUUCACUUCUUUGUGAGCUGGUCCUUAAAGAACUGUGUAUACAUCGGCACCUGUAAGACACCAUCAAGGAUGGGGGUGGUAAUCUGCAUAUCUGUCAUCAUAUCCAGAAACUUUGCAAUCUGCUUGUCUUCAGUUGACUUCACAAACCGUUCUGGAAAUGGCAGCUUCAGGUUGACAGGUGAAGCAGAUUGAUGAUGGAUCAUUAGGAGCAAUAGCUGCUGGUGUAGAAGAACUAGGCUGUGCAGCAGAAGUAGUGGACUGUUGAGGUCACUGCGGAGAAGGUAUUGGGCCGGCUAGGGUAGAAGGAAGGUGGUACAUACAACGCUGGCAUUGGGGAAGAGGAUCGGUUGUAGUCUUACCACUCCGACUAGUAAAGGCUCCACGUGGGUGAACUUCAGGUUGAGGUGGAAGUUUCCCAAUAUUGUGAGGCUACCAUAUGAGUGGUCAAUGUUUGCAUAGAAGAAUCCUUACACCCAAUAUUGUCACUCCUUUUAGAAUACCUGUCUACACCUACAUCAGCAAGAUGUAGUUUUAUUAAGUCGGCUUCCAUUCCUUAUUCGGAAGGCGUUGGAUACUUGAUAUAUGCUAUGCUAUGUACUCGGCCCACCAUUGCGCAUGCUGUUUUAGGGAGCAUAUUUGGAUCCUUAUUCAGGGAAAGCUCAUAUCCAUCAAAAACCAAUCGAAGUCCAGCUUUAUCCCGAGCAUCCAUUGUUUGCCCUGAUUGAAGAUCCGACACGACACCCUCUCUUCCAUCUCCGGCUUCCUAACCAGAUCCAUUUACCCCUGCUUGAAAAAGUGUUUCCAUUCAUAGUUCAGGGUUUCCUAGUCCCAGGUUUAUUCGUAACCGGCUCCCUAUCCAGGUCUUCCUCCUCAACAGCUAUCUUUGUUUGACGGUGUUCGUUGCCAAUGCAAUAGUAAUAUAUGUUUGCUUUCUUCCUGUUCGCAUAUCCAUAUCGAAAACUCUUCUUUCGUAGGCACAUUUACUUCAAUUCAACUACUUCAUUGAUGAAUCAAUUUGAGGAAAUUCAAAAAUACCUUGCUCGCCUUCGCAACUGCCUUCUUUUCUGUGCCUUCCUAGUUUGCCAACCCUAUGUUUGAUUGCGAGUUCCGGCGGGGUGAGUACCUGGACGGACAAGGGGUUCCUUUUCGAUUUCCAUUUUAGAGCUUCUCUCUAGUUCGAAUAUAUAGAACUUCCUUCUUAGAAAUGGAAUACCUUCACCUUAGAAGGGUGUUCUUCCUACUAGUGAAACCAGAUCUGCCUUUUUCGGCUAAGCCGAUUCCAAUGAUCGGAUGGACAAUACUUGCUUAAACCUAGCACCCUAUUGCCUUGCUUUUCCUCCAGCCGUACCUGCCUCGCCGCUCGUGAUACCCAGGAAGGGCAUCCCUCACUUCCCAGAUCGUCUCGCACUUCUUUUGUCACUGGCACACACGCUCUCGUGGGUCUAUCACUGAGAAAUCCCUUUUCGCCGGGCGGUGCGGUAAGUAAGACUAGUCGAUGGACAACUGCUGACUGAAUAGGGAGAAGAUGCAUUUUCCUAGGCUCUUUCUACUUUGAUCAUUGGGUAUAGUCGUCAGUGAUCCACAGAUACGGCGCUUUUGGAUUCCUAAAGGGAUAGGAUAGUUCUUUCUGGGCUUUAGAGGUCUCCCCUUUAACCUAGUACUCUUAGGAAGGCCGGGUUAACCUUCUACUAGAACUAUUCUAUCUACGAAAUUGGAAAGUAGGGUCAACUUGCCAUAAUAUAUAGCCCAACUUGAUCCGUCUUAGAGUAGCCGCCUAUGGAACUGCCCCCGAGUCAACAAUGCACCCGAUCGCGAGCCUUAUAUGAGUUUCAUAGUCAGCCUGCUCUUUCAAGAAUGUGCCUUCUAAACUCGUUGUUCCGCUUGCAGAUUGGAGUUUCCUACUGACUAUCCGGUUUCUUGAUACCGCCGGCCGGGAAUAAGUACCUAUCCCUUACGGGAAUCGAACCCGUGUCUUCGACAUGAAAAGACGAUGUCCUAACCUCUGGACGAAAGGGACCAAAAAGCUAUUUUUCAUAUACUUAAGAGAAGAGAAGUGGUUCUUUUUCUUUCUAUACGAAAUACUUGAUGCACUUAUUGAAUGGAAACUUGAAUUGAGAGAAAAGGUGUGCUACGCUUCUUCAUUCUCGUAACUCAAUCAAUAUCAAGAACAUAAAGAGUUUGUAUAGAGAUGGAUUUCUCUUCAGUUCCAAGACUUUUUUUGAAUGGCUCGUGUUGCGCUAGUGACACGAGGGUAAAACGCUCGAGUUGGCUUGCUGACUCAAGGAGGGAAAGGCUCCAUUUGCUUUAGUGAAUGGAGGAAGAAACAACCAUAGUAACUAUAUAUGAAAUUGAUUGAUGGAUAUGAGAGUGGUGCAAGACCGGGACAGAGGAACCAUAGGAAUGUUAUGUCAGGUUCCUUGCUCACUUCUCAAGCCCAAUAUCAUUCCUCCAACUCGGACUUUCAUGCUAUAAUUAAGAACCCCCCUAAACAAUGACAGCGUACAAUCUAACGAGCCCCGAUGUCAUGUGGAGGUUUUUAUCUUGGUUGAUGGCUACCUGGGAGCUUUAUUGUUGGACUCUUCUUUCGGGCUUUAUCUAUCUUUCCGAGAUGACCAACUGCUCUUUCUUGCCAAUCUACUUUAGAUUUAUUAAUACUUUCAUUGCGGGACCUAUCCCCGAACAACCAUUGCUUUUCUUCCGCGGUUUCUUUAGUUUCUUUUUGAUUUGAUUGAAGUUUAGGGAAUUGGAUGGACUGGUGUCUUUGGAUAUUAUCCGUCCUACUUAUGAUCUUCCAAUUGAACAUACUAGUAUUUUAUGGAUUCUUUCCCCGGUAGUGUAGUCAUCUCCAAAAGGGAUGAUACAUAUUUAUCUGUCCUAGGAUGCACCGUUCGUGAUAAGCUUAUCCGCUUCCUUUCGCCGGUAGUGUGAAUCUUCUCGAAAGCGCACAGCAAGUCCAGUCAGUGUAGCCAGGGCAUCAUGAACGGAUUCCUCAAGAGGAAGGUAGGGCCAUAUCUAUCCAAGAAGAAAGACCUGGUAAACAAUUAUGCUACUUGACCAAUGGAUAAAGUAUAGAUCUCAUGGCUGGCUACUAUUCAACCCUGGCAUUGGGGAUUAGGAACGGGGUAAAGUACGGACUUUGGCUAAGGAUGGGGAUCCGGUUGUGCCGUGCCAGCCCCGGGAAUCGGCGAACUACGAUACACAGUCAGAUAUCUAAGCGAACGGAUAAGGGAAAGCCCACUAUAUUAUAUAUAGUAAUCACCUGCCAAAAGGAAAGCCUGACCGAUAAUAAUAAUAGGUCUAUGCGCCGAACAAGCAACGAUAUAUUAGAGAUAGUAAGGAGUUGUAUACACGGGGGUAUGCAUUCAUGUCACGCUUUCUGUGUGAUAAGAGGUUGCUAGCUAGCAAGUAUAGAAACAGGAGAUAUGCGUAGUUAACAGAAGCAAGGGAAUAUGCGUGAGUUGAUUUGAGAGUUUUUUUUAGUUGCCACCGAAAAAGCAAUUUCAUCUCAAGGGAAAAUACAUUGCAUUUUCAAGGGAUUGCCAAGCAAGGCUAGGGAUCGUCCGCGGGUAUCAGGAUAUCAUAUUUAUCUCUUCUAAUCUAGAUCCCACUUCCCUCCACUUCUUGCCUCACGCCCGUCCUGACUCCGCAUUAACGACUGUCCUUCCACCCAAUUCCCCGCACCCUUGCAUCACAUCUCCAACCCCUGCCUCCACGCGAUCUUCCACAAUCGUACCCCCCACCUCUGAAGCUUGCCCCCGACGAACCUGUCUGCACCUGCGGGCCCGCGCUUACAUCAUUGGCAUAGCAUGAUUAAACAUCAGCACGCGCACUUCCCUCCGUUUUCGAUGCCGACAGGGGGCUGCUAGGGGGUGUAAAGUUUCGUUUCGGUCGUGUCAGACAACAUGCAGGGGGCCAUGGCUGCCAACGGAAUCUAUAAUAAUUUGAUACUAGGUGAACUGUACCAUCGGACUUGUAAGAACAUGUAAAAUGUACCACACGAGGUUGUACCAGUUGUGUGCAGUCCUCCGGCACGGGUUAAGUGUCCUGCAUAGAUCUUCCCCUCUCUCCCAAAGAAGAGAUGUUCGCUUCAUAGCCUUCUCUUCCGAGAUAAACCCUACAAAGGAUCCUAAUCGUGCUAGCCUUUCAUGGACUCUUCUUGGAUUUCCUUUCAGCUGCGCCCAGCACCUCUCUAGUUUCUCUACGAGAUGGAGAUGGCUCAUUCUCUAGUUUUCCUACGAGAUAUAAGUAAGUUUCUAUCAUACUUUGAAGUUCAGUAAGGAGUUAUUAAUUAAGACGAAGAAGAACUGGGUGGGGAUAUGCCUUUCCCAUAACAAUAGAAAGAAUCCAAGCCAAUAUACAUACACUAUCACUAUAGAAUUUUCGCCUACUUAUGAAAAGUGAGAUGAGAGCUUUGUGCUAAUAAUUUAUUAUAAAGGUGUACCUAUCGACCCCAGGUAAUUAAUGCCCUAUCCUUCUACUUAAAAAACAUUACGUUAGACUUGACCAACUGUUAAUACCAAUCCGGCAGCAAUAACUACUACUAAUGCAUAUUCAUAUCCCACUAGUAGACUUAGCAGACUGUGACCUAGCUAGUCUAUUUAUUGACAACAGACCAGUACUAUCCAUCAAUGCCACAAAGACCAUAGAUGACCUCUAUUUCGUGGAAGAACUCCUUCUCAUAUGAUGCAGGGCAAUAAGACCAACUGCCCGCCCUACCUAGUGAGAAGAAAGCUUAUAAAUAUAAGCAUAAACGAAUUCCUAGCCGAGCCCUAUACUUACCUGCUUGUACGGUCAAUGCCCUAGUAGACAUCAACUUGUUCAUAAACUCCAGCCUUAUCUACGCUGCUUUACCCGACCCAGGUGACCUACUUUCUCAGAUGAGAGAUUCGGCGGAGUAGUAGGAAGUCCCUGUGGAGAACUAGAAGACAAAACGAAUAUAGCGGACCAAGCAAUGAAUGACCUAGCCUAGGUAGUCCUAUGUUUGACCAAUGCUGCCUUGUAUGUCUUGAUCCAGGAUUUCUCAGCAAAAAAAGACAUGGGAUUAUUGAUCAAUUCACCAUCCUCUUCAUCUGAGUGUGCUUCCACUUUAUCGUUCGUGGCAUGUGCAUUAUGCAACAAGUAGAUUCCUGAUAAAUGAACCUUCUCCACCCCUUUCCUAUCCAACGCGGAGCGGCAGAACUACUCGUCUGCAAAGUGGGAAAGCUCCCUCCCUCCUACCUAGGUGUACCUCUUCAUUGGAGAAAACCAUCCAGCAACUUCUUACAUUUAGAAUUCCCUUCUAAGAUGGCUAUAACCAUCCUUAUUGACCAGAAAGGAAUUGAGAAAGGGGAUGCUAUAACCAGACCAUAGACAGCGUUUCCACAUUCACUUCUGAACUUAGGGAAACAGUGAAAGAAGCCCUCAUACCCACUCCUCUUUCCCCACCAAACCAACAAGUAGUAGGUUGGUGGGCCUCGGUAUCUAUAUUUGCUAAGAUGGAUACCUACACCACUCAAUAGUUCCAAAUCUUGUUUAGGGGCAAUUUAAACAUGUUCGCAUCCCGCGGGAAGCGGAAAGCCAGAAAGAGAAUUUCCUCCGUUUUAAGAACCGAAAGGAGUUUAUCCAGAUUUGGUACCAAACCCGGGAAAAACCCUAAAUGUUGUCUUCAAAAAUCUAUAUAAGCAGGGUUAUAGGAAUCCUGAGAUUCCCCUCCCUCCGCUUUGGAGGAGAAGCUUCUUCUAUGGCUAUGGCCAAAAGGAGAAAUAGUCCUGUUCAUUAUAUUCCUCCUAGAAUCCAAGGCAUUUCGUCGG
rnacentral:lncRNA from 1 species